rnacentral:lncRNA from 1 species
UGUAGCCAAGUUUGCUACAACAAACUUGCAGUGAUCCUUACCAUCAUACCAGUUACCCAUUUGGUGAUACCUCACCUCCGGGAUGCCUUGGGGAACAAGGGCUACACUCCGGACAAGGUGUGCCAGCUGAUGUUUGUUGUGUAUCCCUCGCAAAUGCACCAGAAAUACUUCUGCUACUGCAACAAAAGACCUUCCAACGGCGCCAGAAAUAGGCACGUCGACGGGAGAAUACUUGGCUUGAUAUUUCUGCUGCGGCUACGCCUUAAGGGACUUCCUAGGCAAGUAUGCAAAGGAUUUCCCCCGUGGCCUUGGAGCCUUGCGUUGGUGUUCCCUUGAAGCGGAAAGGGUGAUGUAGCGUAGUGGUGGGAAGUAUUUCCCUCGGUUUGAGAACCAAGGUAUCAAUCCAGUGGAGGAGUAUCUCAAGAUCCUGCACAAACACAAAACUUUCUCCCAACGCUAUGAAGGGGUUGUCAAUCCCUUAUAGAUUGUUUGCCAAGUGAGAACUGAAAGCAACAAAGUAACAAAGCAAACUAAAAGCAGAGAUGUAAACGAUGGAUGUGAGUAGACCCGGGGGCCAUAGUGUUUACUAGUGGCUUCUCUCAUGAAAGCAAGUACACGGUGGGUGAACAAAUGAAUGUCGAGCAAUUGAUAGAACUGCGCAAAGUCAUGACGAUAUCUAUGCAAUGAUUAUUUCUAUAGGCAUCACGUCCAAAACAAGUAGACUGAUACUUUCUGCAUCUACUACUAUUACUCCACACGUCGACCGCUAUCCAGCAUGCAUCUAGUGUAUUAAGUCCAUAAGAACAGAGUAACGCCUUAAGCGAGAUGACAUGAUGUAGAGGGAUAAUCUCAAACCAAUGAUAAAAACCCCAUCUUUUUACCCUUGAUGGCAACUACUUAAUGUGUGCCUUGCUACCCCUACUAUCACUGGGAAAGGUCACCACAUGGCAGAACCCAAAACCAAGCACUUCUCCCAUUGCAAGAAUCAUAGAUAUAGUUGGCCUAACAAGACCCGAGACUCACAGAGACUUACAAGGAUAUCAAAUCAUGCAUAUAAGAAAUCAGCAAAGACUCAAAUAUAUAUCAUAGAUAAUCUGAUCACAAAUCCACAAUUCAUCGGAUCUCGACAAACACACCGCCAAAGAAGAUUACAUCGGAUAGAUCUCCAUGAAGAUCAUGGAGAACUUUGUAUUGAAGAUCUAAGAGAGAGAAGAAGCCAUCUAGCUACUAACUACGGACCCGUAGGUCUGAAGUGAACUACUCACGAGUCAUUGGAGGGGCGAUGAUGAUGAUGAAGAAGUCCUCCAACUCCAAAGUCCCCUCCGGAAGGGCGCCGGGAAGGGUCUCCAGAUGAGAUCUCAUAGAAACGGAAGCUUGCGGCGGCGGAAAAGUAUUUUCGAGGCUCCCCUGAUUUUUUGCGCAAUAUUUGGGAAUUUAUAGGCCAAAGACCUAGGUUAGGGGGCGGCCAGGGAGGCCACAAGCCUUCCCACCGCCGUCUCCCCCCUAGUGGCGGAGUGGGGGCUUUUGGGCUCCCUGGAGCCCACCUGGCCUAGUCCAAAGUCCCCCUGAUCUUCUUCCGUUCGGGAAAAAUCAUUUCGGGGUUUUUCUUCCGUUUGGACUCCGUUACAAAAUCAGAUCUGAAAAGAGUCAAAAACACGAAAAAACAGGAACUGGCACUUGGCACUGAAUUAAUAAGUUAGUCCCAAAAAAGAUAUAAAAGGUACAUAAAAUAACCAAAGAACACAAGAUAACAGCGUGAAACCAUCAAAAAUUAUAGAUACGUUUCAGACGUAUCAAUCAUCCCCAAGCUUAACUCCUGCUCGUCCUCGAGUAGGGAAGUGAUAAAGAAUGAAUUUUUGAUGCUUUCAUGCUACCUAGCAUAUGUGUCCUUUGUAAUUCCUCUUAUGUGACGUCAAUGUUCAGAUCCAUUAGAUUCAAAACAAUAGUUUGCUAUUGACAUGGAAACAAUAAUAAUUCAAGCAAACUAGCAAAGUAAUCAUGAACUUUCAAAAUAACAAGGCCAAAAGAAAGUUAUCCCUACAAAAUAAUAUAGUCUGUCUAUGCUCUAUCAUCAUUGCACAACGAAUUUAAAUCAUGCACAACCCUGGUAUUGGCCAAGUAAUUGUUUCACACCUUUACUUUCUCAAACCUUUUCAACUCUCACGCAAUACAUGAGCGUGAGCCAUAGUUAUAGCACUAUAGAUGGUGUGGAAUGUAGUGGAGGUUGCAAGACAAAAAGGAGAAGAUAGUCACAUUAACUAGGCAUAUCAAUGAGCUAUGGAGAUGCUCAUCAAUAGAUAUCAAUGUGAAUGAGUAGGGAUUGCCAUACAAAUGAUGCACUAGAGCUACAAGUACGUGAAAGCUCUUAAAGAAAACUAGUGGGUGUGCAUCCAACUUGCUUGCUCACGAAGACCUAAGGCAAUUUUGAGGAAGCCUAUCAUUGGAAUAUACAAGCCAAGUUAUAUAAUGAAAUUUUCCUACUAGCUAUAUGGUGGUGACAAAACGAGAGACUCUCAAUCAUGAAGAUCAUGGUGCUUAAUAUGCACAAGUGUGGAAAAAGUGGUAGCAUUGUCCCUUCUCUCUUUUUCUCUCUUUUUUAGUGGGCUCUUUGGCCUCUUUUUUUGGUGGGCUUCUUUGGUCUCUUUUAUUUCCUCACAUGGGACAAUGAUCCAUUGAUGAUGAUCAUCAAACUUUCAACUCAAAACUUAGAGCAACUAUGACUCUAUAUGGAAUGCCUUCGGUAGUGUACCCUGGCAAUGAUCUAGCAUGGCAUAAACAUCAAUGGAAACAUCAUGCUAGCUAUCUUACGGUCGUGCAAAGGGAAAGUAGACGUGGUGGCACAUGUCAUGGUGGUAGUUGCAUGGCAAUAUAUCUCGGAAUGACUUUGAAAAGGCCAUAAUAGGUAGGUAUGGUGGCUGUUUUGAGGGAGGCUAAUGGUGGGUUUUGUGCACCGGCGAAAGUUGCACGGCACUAAGAAGAUAGUGAUGGUGGAAGGUGAAAGUGCAUCUAAACCAUGGACUCAACAUUAGUCAUGAAGAACUCAUAUACUUUUUGCAAAAGUUUUAUUAGUAAUCGAAACAAAGCAUUCAACGCAUACUCCUAGGGGAAGGGUUGGUAGGUAUAAACCAUCGCGCGAUCCCGACCGCCACGCAAAGGAUGACAAUCAAUAGACUAAUCAUGCUCAGAUUUCAUCACAUAGCGGUUCACCAUACGUGCAUGCUGUUGGAAAUAUGCCCUAGAGGCAAUAAUAAAAUGGUUAUUAUCAUAUUUCCUUGUUCAUGAUAAUCGUCUAUUGUUCAUGCUAUAAUUGUAUUAACAGGAAACAGUAAUACAUGUGUGACUAAAUAGAUCACAAUGUGUCCCCAGCAAGCCUCUAGUUGGCUAGCUCGUUAGUCAAUAGAUGAUCAUGGUUUCCUGAUCAUGGGCAUUAGAUGUCAUUGAUAACGGGAUCACAUCAUUGGGAGAAUGAUGUGAUGGACAAGACCCAAUCCUAAGCAUAGCACUAGAUCGUAAUGUUUGAAUUGUCUGACCGUGAGAUUGUGCAACUCCCGGAUACCGUAGGAGUGCUUUGGGUGUAUCAAAUGUCACAACGUAACUGGGUGACUAUAAAGGUGCACUACGGGUACCUCCAAAAGUGUCUGUUGGGUUGGUACGAAUCAAGAUCGGGAUUUGUCACUCCGUGUGACGGAGAGGUAUCUCUGGGCCCACUCGGUAGAACAUCAUCAUGAGCUCAAUGUGACUAAGGAGUUAGUCACACGAUGACAUGCUACGGAACGAGUAAAGAGACUUACCGGUAACGAGAUUGAACAAGGUAUAGGCAUACCGACGAUCGAAUCUCGGGCAAGUUCUAUACCGAUAGACAAAGGGAAUUGUAUACAGGAUUGAUUGAAUCCUUGACAUCGUGGUUCAUCCGAUGAGAUCAUCGUGGAGCAAGUGGGAGCCACCAUGGGUAUCCAUACCCCGCUGAUAGUUAUUGGCCAGAGAGGUGUCUCGGUCAUGUCUGCCUAUCUCCCGAACCCGUAGGGUCUACACACUUAAGGUUCGAUGAUGCUAGGGUUAUAGGGAAUUGUUAUACGAGGUUACCGAAAGUUGUUCGGAGUCCCGGAUGAGAUCCCGGACAUCACGAGGAGCUCCGGAAUGGUCCGGAGGUAAAGAUUGAUAUAUAGGACGGAUGGUUUCGGAUACCGGAAGUGUUUCGGGCAUCACCGGUAACGUACCGGGACCACCGGGACCACCGGAGGUGGCCCCGGGGGUCCACCGAAGGGGGCAACGACCUCGGGAGGUAAGGUGGGCCAAGUGGGGAAGGGAACCAGCCCCUAGGUGGGAUGGUGCGCCUCCCCACUCAGCCCAAUGCGUGGGGGAGAGAAAACGGGGGGGGGGGCAAACCCUAAGCCAGGUGGGCCUAAGGCCCACCAGGGGUGCGCCACACCCCUCCUCCCCCCCUUGGCCGCCGCACCAGCCCCCAUCUAGGGCUGCCGCCCCCCUAGGAGAGGUAAACCCUCAAGGGGGACUAGCCCUCCCUCCCCCUAUAUAUAGUGGGCACUUUUGGCCAUUGGAGAUCAGACUUUUGCCUCUCUCUCGGCGCAGCCCUGCCCUUCUUCCUCCUCCUCUGUGUCGGUGCUUGGCGAAGCCCUGCCGGGAGACCUCGUCUCUCCAUCGACACCACGCCGUCGUGCUGCUGGAGUUCUUACCCAACCUCUCCCUCCUCCUUGCUUGAUCAAGGUGCGGGAGACGUCAACGGGCUGCACGUGUGUUGAACGCGGAGGUGUUGUAGUUCGGCACUAGAUCGAAAUCGCUGCGAGUACGACUCCAUCAACCGCGUUCUAGCAGCGCUUCCGCUUAGUGAUCUUCAAAGGUAUGAAGAUGCUCUUACCCCUCUCUCGUUGCUGGUCUCUCCAUAGGAAUAUCUGAAUAUGCGUAGGAAAAUUUUGAAUUUAUGCUACGUUACCCAACAGUGGCAUCCGGGCCAGGUUUUCUAUGCGUAGAUUCUAUGCACGAGUAGAACACAAAAGUUGUGGGCGAUGAUUUGUCAAUUUGCUUGCCGCUACUAGUCUUAUUCUUUUCCAGCGGUAUUGUGGGAUGAAGCGGCCCGGACCGACUUUACACGUUCGCUUAGGUGAGACUGGUUCCACCGACAGACAUGCACACCGUGCAUAAAGGUGGCUAGCGGGUGUCUGUCUCUCCUACUCUAGUCGGAUUGGAUUUGAUGAAAAGGGUCCUUAUGAAGGGUAAAUAGCUUUGGCAUAUCAUCGUUCUGGCUGUCACGUAGGUAAGAAGGCAUUCUUGCUAGAAACCCAAAUCAGCCACGUAAAACUUGCAACAACAAUUAGAGGACGUCUAACUUGUUUUUGCAGGGUUUGACAUGUGAUGUGAUAUGGCCAAAGUUGUGAUGUUGCAUGUAUGAUGUAUGAGAUGAUCAUGUUAUUGUAAUAGGUUUCACGACUUGCAUGUCGAUGAGUAUGACAACCGGCAGGAGCCAUAGGAGUUGUCUUAAUUUAUUGUAUGAGAUGCAACGCCAUGUGCUUACUAAUUUUACUUCAUUGCUAACGGUUAGCUAUAGUAGUAGUGAUAGUAGUAGUUGGCGUGACGACUUCACGGAGACACGAUGAUGGAGAUCAUGAUGAUGGAGAUCAUGGUGUCACGCCGGUGACGAUGAUGAUCAUGCGAUGCCCGAAGAUGGAGAUCGAAAGGGCGAAGAUGAUAAUGGCCAUAUCAUGUCACUAUAUGAUUGCAUUGUGAUGUUUAUCAUGUUUUACAUCUUAUUGCUUAGAACGAUGGUAGCAUAAUAAGAUGAUCUCUCUUAAAAUUUCGAGAAUGUAUUCCCCUAAGUGUGCACCGUUGCGAAGGUUCGUUGUCUCGAAGCACCACGUGAUGAUCGGGUGUGAUAGAUUCUAACGUUCGCAUACAACGGGUGUAAGCCAGAUUUACACACGCGAAACACCUAGGUUGACUUGACAAGCUUAGCAUGUACAGACAUGACCUCGAAAACAAGAGACCGAAAGGUCGAACAUGAGUCGUAUGGUUGAAUAUGAUCAACAUGAAGUUGCUCGCCAUGGUGACUAGUCCGUCUCACGUGAUGAUCGGACACGGGUUAGUCAACAUGGAUCAUGUAUCACUUAGAUGACUAGAGGGAUGUCGAUUUAAGUGGGAGUUCAUACUUAAUUUGAUUAAAUGAACUUAAUUGUCAUGAACUUAGUCUAAAAGUUGUCUUUAUAAAUAUUUUAGAUGGCCAACGUCAACCUCAAUUUCAACGCAUUCCUAGAGAAAAACAAGCUGAAAGAUGAUGGUAGCAACUAUGCGGACUGGGUUCGCAACUUGAAGCUCAUCCUUGAAGCAGCUAAAAAGGCUUAUGUCCUUGAUGCGCCGCUAGGUGACCCUCCCGCUCCCGCAGCAGCCCAGGAAAUUCUGAACGUCUCGCAAACGCAGAGUGAUGACUACUCUCUAGUUAGGUGUGGCAUGUUAUACAGUUUAGAAACGGGGCUCCAAAGGCGUUUUGAGCAACACGGAGCAUAUGAGAUGUUCCAGGAAAUGAAGCUAGUUUUUCAAGCUCAUGCCCGUGUCGAGAGAUAUGAAGUCUCCGACAAGUUCUUUAGCUGUAAGAUGGAGGAGAACAGUUAUGUCAGUGAGCACAUACUCAAAAUGUCUGGGUUACACGGUCGUCUGACUUCACUUGGAGUCGAACUUCCGGAUGAUGCUAUAAUCGACAGAAUCCUCCAGUCUCUCCCACCAAGCUACAAAGGCUUUGUGCUUAACUACAACAUGCAAGGGAUGGAAAAGACCAUUCCCGAGUUGUAUUCGAUGCUCAAGUCUGCAGAACUAGAAAUCAAGAAAGAGCAUCAAGUGUUGAUGGUCAACAAGACCACUAGUUUCAAGAAAGGCAAGGGUAAGAAGAACUUCAAGAAAGACGGCAAAGUUGUUGCCGCGCCCGGUAAGCCAGAUGCCGGGAAGAAGAAAAAGAAUGGACCCAAGCCUGAGACUGAGUGCUUCUAUUGCAAGGGAAAAGGUCACAGCAAGCAGAACUGCCCCAAUUACUUAGCGGACAAGAAGGCCGGCAACGUUAAAGGUAUAUAUGAUAUACAUGUUAUUGAUGUGUACCUUACCAGCACUCGUAGUAGCUCCUGGUUAUUUGAUACCGGUGUUGUUGCUCACAUUUGCAACUCAAAGCAGGAACUGCGGAAUAAGCGGAGACUGGCCAAGGACGAGGUGACGAUGCGCGUGGGGAAUGGUUCCAAAGUCGAUGUGAUCACCGUCGGCACGCUACCUCUACAUCUACCGUCGGGAUUAGUUUUAAACCUUAAUAAUUGUUAUUUAGUACCAGCUUUAAGCAUGAACAUUGUAUCAGGGUAUUGCUUAAUGCAAGACGGCUACUCAUUUAAGUCAGAGAAUAAUGGUUGUUCUAUUUAUAUGAGUGAUAUGUUUUAUGGUCAUGCUCCGCUGGUGAAUUGUUUAUUCUUGAUGGAUCUCGAUCGUGAUGUUACACAUAUUCAUAGUGUGAGUACCAAAAGAUGUAAAGUUGAUAAUGAUAGUCCCACAUACUUGUGGCACUGCCGCCUUGGUCAUAUCGGCGUUAAGCGCAUGAAGAAGCUCCAUACUGAUGGACUAUUAGAGUCUCUUGACUUUGAAUCAUUUGACACAUGCGAACCGUGCCUCAUGGGCAAGAUGACUAAGACUCCAUUCUCAGGAAUAAUGGAGAGAGCAACCGACUUAUUGGAAAUAAUACAUACUGAUGUGUGUGGUCCAAUGAACGUUGAAGCUCGCGGUGGUUAUCGUUAUGUUCUCACUCUCACCGAUGAUUUGAGUAGGUAUGGGUAUAUCUACUUGAUGAAGCACAAAUCUGAGACGUUUGAAAAGUUCAAGGAAUUUCAGAGUGAGGUCGAGAAUCAACGUGACAGAAAAAUUAAGUGUCUACGAUCUGAUCAUGGAGGAGAAUAUUUGAGUCACGAGUUUGGCACACACCUAAGGAAGUGUGGAAUCAUUUCACAACUGACGCCACCUGGCACACCACAAUGCAACGGAGUGUUUGAACGUCGUAAUCUCACUUUAUUAGAUAUGGUAAGAUCUAUGAUGUCUCUUACUGACUUACCGCUAUCAUUUUGGGGAUACGCAUUAGAAACUGCAGCAUUAACUUUAAAUAGGGCACCGUCUCAAUCCGUUGAGACGACAUCGUAUGAACUAUGGUUUGGCAAGAAACCUAAGUUGUCAUUUCUUAAAGUUUGGGGCUGCGAUGCUUAUGUGAAGAAACUUCAACCAGGAAAGCUCGAACCCAAAGCGGAGAAAUGCAUAUUCAUAUGAUACCCUAAGGAAACUAUUGGGUAUACCUUCUAUCUUAGAUCCGAAGGUAAAACCUUUGUUGCCAAGAACGGAUCCUUUCUAGAGAAAGAGUUUCUCUUGAAAGAAGUAAGUGGGAGGAAGGUAGAACUUGAUGAGGUAAUUACACCCCCUCUCGAACAGGAUAGUAGCGCAGCGCGGGAAGUUGUUCCUGUGGCGCCUACACCAACUGAAGAGGAAGUUAAUGAUGAUGAUCAUGAAGCUUCGGAUCAAGUUACUACUGAAUCGCGAAGGUCCACAAGGGCACGCUCCGCACCAGAGUGGUACGGCAACCCUGUGAUGGAAAUCUUGUUGUUAGACAACGGUGAACCUUCGAACUAUGAAGAAGCAAUGGCGGGCCCGGAUUCAAGGAGUUGACUACGAAGAGACUUUCUCUCCCGUAGCGAAGCUGAAAUCAGUCCGAAUCAUGUUAGCAAUUGCCGCCUUUUAUGAUUAUGAAAUUUGGCAAAUGGACGUCAAAACAGCGUUCCUUAACGGGAACCUUAAGGAAGAGUUGUAUAUGAUGCAACCAGAAGGUUUUGUCGACCCUAAGGGUGCUAACAAAGUGUGUAAGCUCCAGCGCUCCAUCUAUGGGCUGGUGCAAGCAUCUCGGAGUUGGAACAUUCUCUUUAAUGAGGUGAUUAAAGCGUUUGGGUUCAUACAGGUUUAUGGAGAAGCCUGUCUGUACAAGAAAGUGAGUGGGAGCUCUGUAGCUUUCCUCAUACUGUAUGUGGAUAACAUAUUAUUGAUGGGGAAUAAUAUAGAGAUGUUGGAGAGCAUAAAGGCCUAUUUGAACAAAAGUUUUUCAAUGAAGGACCUUGGAGAAGCUGCAUACAUAUUAGGCAUCAAGAUCUGUAGAGAUAGAUCAAGACGCCUCAUAGGUCUUUCGCAAAGUACAUACCUUGACAAGAUAUUGAAGAAGUUCAAUAUGGAAAACUCAAAGAAAGGGUUCUUGCCAGUUUUGCAAGGUGUGAGAUUGAGUAAGACUCAGUCGCCGACCACGGCAGCAGAUAGAGAGAAGAUGAGUUGUGUCCCCUACGCUUUAGCCGUGGGCUCUCUAAUGUAUGCCAUGCUGUGUACCAGACCUGAUAUAAGCCUUGCCAUAAGUUUGGUAGGGAGGUACCAAAGUGAUCCCAGUAUGGAACACUGGACAGUGGUCAAGAAUAUCCUUAAGUACCUGAAAAGGACCAAGGAAAUGUUUCUCGUUUAUGGAGGUGACGAAGAGCUCGUCAUAAAGGGUUACGUCGACGCUAGCUUCGACACAGAUCCAUAUGACUCUAAGUCACAGACCGGAUACGUAUAUGUGUUGAAUGGUGGGGCAGUGAGCUGGUGCAGCAGCAAGCAAGAAGUCGUGGCAGCAUCUACAUGUGAAGCGGAGUACAUAGCUGCUUCGGAAGCAGCUCAUGAAGGAAUUUGGAUGAAGGAGCUCAUCACCGACCUUGGAGUGGUUCCAAGUGCGUCGGGUCCAAUGACACUCUUCUGUGAUAACACUGGGGCCAUUGCCAUAGCCAAGGAGCCCAGGUUUCACCGGAAGAUGAAGCACAUCAAACGCCGCUACAACUCCAUCCAGGACCAUGUCCAGAGUGGAGUGAUAGAUAUUUGUAAAGUACACACGGAUCUGAAUAUUGCAGAACCGUUGACUAAACCUCUUCCACGAGCAAAACAUGAUCAACACCAUAAUGCUAUGGGUGUUCGAUACAUCACAAUGUAACUAGAUUAUUGACUCUAGUGCAAGUGGGGGACUAUUGGAAAUAUGCCCUAGAGGCAAUAAUAAAAUGGUUAUUAUCAUAUUUCCUUGUUCAUGAUAAUCGUCUAUUGUUCAUCCUAUAAUUGUAAUAACAGGAAACAGUAAUACAUGUGUGAAUAAAUAGAUCACAAUGUGUCCCUAGCAAGCCUCUAGUUGGUUAGCUCAUUAGUCAAUAGAUGAUCAUGGUUUCCUGAUCAUGGGCAUUAGAUGUCAUGGAUAACGGGAUCACAUCAUUGGGAGAAUGAUGUGAUGGACAAGACCCAAUCCUAAGCAUAGCACUAGAUCGUAUUGUUCGUAUGCUAAAGCUUUUCUAAUGUCAAGUAUCUUUUCCUUCGACCGUGAGAUUGUGCAACUCCCAGAUACCGUAGGAGUGCUUUGGGUGUAUCAAAUGUCACAACGUAACUGGGUGACUAUAAAGGUGCACUACGGGUACCUCCCUGGAGCCCAUCUGGCAUGGCCCAAUGGCCCCCUGAUCUUCUUCCGUUCGGGAAAAAAUCAUUUCGGGAUUUUUCUUCCGUUUGGACUCCGUUCCAAAAUCAGAUCUGAAAAGAGUCAAAAACACGGAAAAAAAACAGGAACUGGCACUUGGCAGUGACUUAAUAAGUUAGUCCCAAAAAAUAUAUAAAAGUUACAUAAAACAACCAAAGAAGACAAGAUAACAGCGUGAAACCAUCAAAAAUUAUAGAUACGUUUGAGACGUAUCACCAGCCUCUCUUGUCCCCUCCGAGGAAGUACAGGCACUGACCAUGCAGUCGGCGUGCCAUGUGCGCGCUCUGUGCAUUGGGACCGUAGGGGUCGUCGGUUUCUUCUCUCCCUCGACAUAUAUCCAUGUCCAGCAGCUUCCUCUCGUGGCCUUCCUUCCCUGGACCCCUCUCCCCCUCUCACGUCCCCUCCUACGCGGUUCGGUAGCCGCGCCCAUGACCUGCAGCCGCCGUCGCCGUCGUGUCCUAUUGCCUGAGCUCUCCUGAGGUUUCCCGAUCUCUCCUGAGCCAUCUCCAUCCCUCCUCGAAGCUGCUCGAUGCCGCUACCGGCCAUCCACGCCAUCCCCGGAGCUCCAGUGCGUGGCUAGGAUCGCCACGACGGGCGCCCUCACCUACUUUCGCCGCUCGGCUAUUUAUAGCCAUUCCCGUGCCCUCCUAGGAUCGUCAUGACCCUCAGCAUCUUCCUCUCCCUCCCGGGCGCCCCAAAACUCCAACCCUCGAGCCCCGGCGCUUGAAUCGCUCCACACUUAACGCCAUGGCCACCGCCACUCUUCCCUCAAAUUCUCGCGCCACAGCCGUCCCUCGCCCCGUUCAAGCUCACCUCUGGGCUCCCCAGUCUCCGUAGAUUAUCCCCUCCCCCUUUCCCCGCCUCUCCAGCCACGGGAGCGUGUCAAGUGCCCAGAGCCACUGCGGCUCUACCGCCAUGGCCACACCUCACUCCGGUCAACCCCGGCGCCCUCUUCACCGCCCACAGGCGUGGGGUGGAAUGGCACAUCCAUCCCUGGCGGUGCCAGGGCUCGUCGUGGCCUCCAGUCGCCAGCACCGGCGAGGUCGAAUCCCUCUGUGGCUGCGUGAGGGAGAAGGGAUGAGGAGGAAGGAGAAGACUGGAGGAGAGAGAGAAGGAAGUACGGGCCCCGCUUGGCGGUGAGAGCAGCGGAUGCCACACUGGACAAGUGGAAGCGCCUUUGCGCGUUUACGACUACCUUGUUGGAAAGUGUAUUUCGCUGAAGUGUGCGACCCCCUGGACUGUUAGGGGCCUAGUUGUAAAUAAUUAUUUGCAGAAAGGUCCCUGACAGAAAUUUUUGUUAUAUCUUUUUACCCGUAACUCCGAUCGAGGUGAUUCCAAAGCCCACGUCUUUGUAUCGUCGAGCCCGUCAUGUUGGUAUCAUUUUCACUAUGUGUUCACACAGUGGAAAUGACCAUAUUGCCCUUGCCUGUAAACAGACCCUCCGAGAGAGAACUGUGUCUGACAAUCAAUUCCGUGGACUCUCCGCACUUCUUUCCAAUGGUUCCUUCACCCGAGGAAAGCCACAACCCUCAUUUGCAUAAAUGCAUUACAAUAUCAUAGUUUAACCAAUUACUUUAAUCGCAAGUAUAAUUGUUUGUAGUAUGGAUUAGGUUAUGCAAUGUUUGAAUAAAUUCUUGAAUAGGUGACAACCAUGUUGACUACGGGAUUGUUAGUAACUAGUAUUUUAUGACACUGAAGAUUAUUGUCUAUGAUUAUUUUGGGUUUCAUCCGAAAGUUGGUGGAUAUGAAUCAAUAGCAGUGGCUUGAGCUUAUUGGUUAUUGGAUUACUAUGAUAUUGAAGUGUGAGCUAUGACAGAAAUAUGAUUCGGUGAUAAGACAGAUAGUUGGUUGAUCGAGAGUCACCUGUCCGGGCAUAUCCGUGCAGCCACAUUUUUCGGUAUGGCACGGCCUUGGCUUGGUCUGAUCGCGUGCUCUUUUAUCGGUACCACCAAAGAGGGAAGGCUAUGCGUGCACGCUGCCCUAGCCCGGUAGGCGGCGAUAACCUUGUGAGCCCAGUUGAGUUGUAUGAUCCCGUCCCCGUUUGGGACAGUUUAGUUUGGCCACGAUGGUGGCAGGUGCCAUGAGGACACAAGGGCCACCCAGGGCAGGACUCCGGGGGAGGAUGAAUGUCGGUGGUAUGAUGGGAGAGUUACGGGUCAGGCAGGUUUCGUUGGAGCAACGCUGGUCCACCCGAAUGGGAUCACGAGGCUAGGUGCUUCAUGGUGUGGGUAAAGUGUGCAAUCUCUGCAGAGUGAAAAAUCUAUUCUAAUAGUCGCGUCCACGGUAUUGGACAGCCCGUCCAGACCUCAAUAGGUGGUCAACCAUAACCAUAGUAGUGAUAAUAAUGAGGGAAGAACUCGUUUGAGUAUGGUAGCAGUUGGGCAUCAUGCCGGUGACAAGUCUUGGUGUUUGUCUUGAGGAUAUUUGAUGAAGAGAUGAUGUAUAUACUUCUCUCUCCUCGUUGGUUACCCCAAGUGGAAGGUUGAGAUGAAGUCAAUAGCAAGUUUUCCCUUACACGAAGACUGUAAGGUUUAUCGAACCAGGAGGACUCCUAGGAUCAACAAGCAGGUGUCUUCCACCCUGGCACUAGCAGAAGACGUGCACCUGCACACACAACAAUUAACUUUGCUCCCAACGAGUACAGAGAGGUUGUCAGUCUCUCCGGCCUUGUAGUUUGCAAAGGUUCAAAACACAAGCGGGAUAGGAGAUAGUGAUUGCAACGGAGAAUUAAAUGAAAGCGGUAAAUGGUGGAGGUGUAAACUAUGAUGGUGAUAUGCACCGGAGUCACAUGAUGUUCACUAGUGAUGUCUCUCUCCCAAAAGAAGAUAAACAACUAUGCUUGGGUAAACAAAUAACAGUUGGGCAAUUGACAUAAUUAUGAACGCACCACAAUGCUAAUUAUGCUACUUGAUAGUUUGAGGUUCAAUAGUAAUGGGCAGUACGCCAAGACAAGUAGACCGUUUAUUCACCAGCAUCACCUUACUAAUCAUCCACCUUGAGAUAUCUAUCUAGAACAUCACGCAGGUAUUAAGUUGCGAGCCCCACCGAAAGUGUAAACUCAAAGCAACGAACAACUGCAUUAACGAACUAUGCGUAAGGUAAACAAUCCUUGCAACCUGGUCACAAGCACCGUUGUUUUCUCCCUGGUGGCAACAUCACAUCCCCUAGUCUCAUGUUUCUGUCACUCAAGCUAGACAUCGAGGGGCAUGAACCCACAAUCAUGCAUAACGCUCCCUCUUAGAGUUACAAUCCACUACUCGUCCAAAGCAAUAAAUAGCAACGGAGAACAUGCAUGAAUCACUAAGGAACAUAAUAUAAAAGGAUAAUCAAAUAUAUAACUCAUAACAAUCUGAACAUAAUCUCACAAUCCAUCGGAUCCCAACAAACCGAGCAUAGAAAUAGCAAGAGAAUUACAUAGAUGCCUUGAUCAUGUAGGGCAGCUCACAAGGAAUAACAGUUGAAGCACAAGAUUGGAGAGAAGACAUCACAUAGCUACUGGUCAUGGACCCAUGGUCCAAGGAGGACUACUCACAGCAUGUCAGGGAAGCGUCCAUGGUGGUGGAGAAGCUCCCGGAGGUCAAUCCUCCCUCCGGCAGGGUGCCGGGAAGAGGUCUCCUGACGCUCCCGAUCUCAGAAGCGCUGCAGCAGCGAAACGAUGGAGAAAUUCGCGAUUCUGGAAGUUGUGGAAGGGUUUCCUCUCAGGGGACUAAAUAUAGGCCGAAGGAGGGCAUCGGAGGAGGUGGGGCCCACCCAAGCGGCCUCCUGGCGUGGUCAAGGGGUAGGCCGCGAGCAGGUCGCCUGGACGGCCCCUGGUCCCCCUCGCACCCAUCUUCGGUGAUCUGGAAGCUUCUGUUAUGCUGAUUUUUUUUAUAUUUUUCCUAGAUUUUUUUGAGCUUCGGAAAAUUGAGUAAAAGCCCCUGCAAAAUAGACAUCAGCAGACAGAAACUGGCACUGGGUGCACUGAGUUGGUAGGUCAGUCCAAAUAUGUGUAAAAUGAUAUAAAAGUGUAGCAAAAUAUAUAACAAUGUAACCCAAAAGAUCAUGGAACAAGCAGAAAUUAUAGAUACAUUUGGGAUGUAUGAACAUCCCCAAGCUUAAUUUCUGCUCGUCCUCGAGUAGAUAAAUGAUAACACAAUAAUUUAUGUGGUGACAUGCUAACACACAUAUAAGAACUUCAAAGUAAAGAAAGUGAGAUAUGCAAUUCAAGUCAAGACAAUAACAAGCAAGAGUCUAUAUCUAGUAUUGAAUUUAGCAAAGUAAGAACAUAAAGGUGCAAGAGCUCUCGCUGUCCAUGACUCGAAUGUCUCCAAAUGGUGUUUGCCUGCAAGAAGUGGGAGAUAGGUUGAGAUCAUAAAAUAUAUUUUUAAUUGAGAACUCAAUCAACUAAAAUUUCACACUUGGUCUCCUUCGUAGUAUGAUUUUGACUCAUCCCCACACCACUAGUGAGGAACAAGUUAAAAUGAUCCUCUCCCUUUCAACUUUGAGCACGCAUGCAAUGGAUGAGCGUAAUCAAGAUAUGUUGGCACUUAGGAUGGCAAAUAGAAUAAUGAUGGGGACGGAAGACAAAAAUGUAUGAAAGGCUCACAUCAAUGAGGACAACCAUAGGCGAGAGAAAGACAAAUGAUAGAUAUGAUGUGAGGAUUAGGGAUUGCCAUGUAACGGAUGCACAUAUGAGCUAAGGUAAGCUCUCCAAUGGAACUAGUGGGGGUGCAUCCAACUUGUUUGCUCACGAAGACCUAGAGAUCAUUUGAGGAGGCUCAUCAUUGGAAUAUGCAAACCAAGUUCUAUAGUGUAAGGGUCCCCACAUAGUUAUGCAUGAAUGAUAAUCUCUAUGUAGUACAAAUGUAGCAAUGGAGUACGAGUGUGGUUCUUUCAAAAGGAAUAGUAGUGUUGCCCCUUCUCUCUUCUUAUUUUAUUUUAUUUUUCUCUUUUUUUUAAUUUUUUUGUGGCCUCUUUGGCGCUUUCUUUUUAUCUCUCAUUUGUCCUCUUUGGGAUCUUUUGUUUGUCCUCUUUGGGAUCUUUUGUUUGUCCUGUUUGGGAUCUUUUCCUCACUUAAGGGCAACACUCUAUGUUUUACAUGAAUAAAAAUAAGAUCAUCACACUUUAUAAGAAGUACUCAACAUAAAGACAAGUGAAAACUAUCAUGAUGUAUGCAAAUGUAUGCAUCUGCCAGUGUAGCAGGAUAUGCAAUGGUACUAGCGCGUCAUGUAGCAAUAAUUGGGGCAAGGCCCAACUAUCAUGCGGCUCUAUGAUCAAGCAAAAGCAUCUAUGACAUGAAGAUCAAGUCAUGAAAUGGUGGAUGUUACAUGGCAAUGUAUCUCGGAAAGGCUAUGGAAAUGCCUUAAUAGGUAGGUAAGGUGGCUGUUUUGAGGAAAGAUAUAAUGAGGCUUAUGUAUGACAGAGCGUAACAUGUCAUGGGUUUGGAUGCACCGCUGAAGUUUGCACCAACUCUCAAUGUGAGAAAGGGCAAUGCACGGUACCGAAGAGGCUAGCAAAUUUUGGAUGGUGGAAGUGACAACAAUCGGGUACUCACAUUAGUCUGAAGAACUCAUACACUUAUUAUCGGUAACUCUCUAUCUAGUUAGGAAAUUCACAAAGAGACAAGUACCCCGAGGAGUAGUGUUUGGGGUUUUGUUAUCCUUGCGCAUCCUCGACUCAUAGUAACGUGAGGGUACUCUAUAUAUUCCAACCCCUCCAGAGGUUAGCGAUCAAUUGAGUAGCUAGAGUUCUCAACUAUUUUUUAGUUUUUGAAAAACACAUGGAUUUCCCAAAGUACGACACCUAUCACUAAUAGGCUCAAGCUCUAGGCACCAAUAGUCCAAACAUUACUCAAAUCAAUACCUCAAAACUAUUGCAAGUUACUACUAUACUUAAAUAGCAACCUCAGUUACCUACUCAUGCAAGACACACAACUCAGUGCAACGAGCCAACUCUCUAAACAAGAUAAGCAUGAUAAAUCAAGAGAGUUCCAAAAUCAACCUAAAUAAAAGAUCUUAAAAAGAUAAGCAUGAAAACUAAGAGCUAAGCAUGACAGUAGCUAUGGAAAGAUGAAGAACACACAAGAAAGAUAGGCAUGAAAACCUAUGUUGUGUUCUAGAGUGGAAUGGAGUGUGUUUCUCUCCCAAACAAGGUAGCAUAGGUUCCGACUUGUUAUGAACAGCAAGCAAAACUAAAACAAACUAAAAAGUAAAGAGCGGGACGCUCUAAGCAUAGCACAUAACAUAUGAAGUGAUAAAAAUAUAGCAUGGAGAUGGACGAACUGAUGAUUGUUGAUAGAGAAGGGGAUGCACGGGGUCAUCCCCAAGAUUAGAUGCUUGAGUCUCCUUUGAAUAUUUCUUGGGGUGCAUGGGGGCAUACCCAAGCUUGAGCGCUUGACACUCCUGUAUCUUAUUUCAUCAUCUCCCAUCGCAUACUUGAAAACUCCCUUCAUACGAAACUCAUCACAAGCUGAUUAGAGUGGUUAGUACCCUUAAUAAAAUAAUUCAUUACCUGCUGGAAAUAAAUAUUUUCAUGAAAAUCUACUGCUUCUCAUGAUUGCCAAAAUGUUUUUGCAAAUAAAAAGUAAGCUUAGGAUUUGCAAAACAAUGAAAACGCAAAACAUGGCAGAAUCUCUGAAAACAGAAUAGUAGGUAGUAAAUAAUUUAAUUUACUUCUGCAACUCAAAUAAAAAACUCAGAAUAGAUGCGAGAAAGGCAAUUAUAUAGAGCAUGUUGUCAAACAAAAUCAGAUCAAAAAUAUGAUCUGGUGAUUUUUGGCGAAUUGUUCCGUCAAGCAAACAGAAUCUGUUUCUCGACAGCAUGUCACAAUUUUUGAACUUUCUUGCAAUCGGAGGCUAUAACUUGGCACAAAGCUUAAAAAUAAAGACGCAAUGAUGUUGCUACAGUAGUAACAAGCAUCAAGACCACUAAAACUGAAAGUAAAAAUAAAUUGGGUUGCCUCCCAACAAGCGCUUUCUUUUAUGCCUUUGAGCUAGGCAUAAUGCAAGAAGAUCAAGUGUUAUCAACUCCAAAAGAAUAACUUGCCGGAGUAACGGAUUCAUAAGGUAACUUAAUCUUCUUUCUAGGGAAGUGUUCCAUUCCCUUUUUAAGGGGGAGUUGGAAUUUAAUGAUUCCCUCUUUCAUGUCAAUGAUAGCACCAAAUGGUGCGGAGGAAAGGACGUCCCAAAAUAAUUGGACAUGAAGGAUCACAUUCAAUGACCAUAAUAAGAAAAUCAACGGGAACAUAAUUAUCAUUGAAAAUAAUAAGAUCAUCAUUAAUUCUCCCUAAAGGUUUCUUUAUGGAAGAAUCAACAAGACGAACACCAAAAGAACAUGGAUCAUAAGGUUUCCAAUCAAGCAUAUCAUACAUUCUUUUGGGCAUUACGGAGGCACUAGCUCCAACAUCACAUAAUGCAAAGCAAGAGAUAUUAUUCAAUUUAAUCUUGACCAUAGGAUCCCAACCAUCUUCUAGUUUCCUAGGAAUAGAAGUCUUUAGCUUGAGCUUCUCCUCCCUAGCUUUGAUAAGAGCAUUGGUAAUAUGCUCGGUGAAGGCAAUAUUGAGUGUACUAGUGUGGGGGUCUUUGGCCAUUCUUUGCAAAAAGGUGAUGACUUCGGAAAGACUACAAUUGUCAAAAUAAAUAUCAUUGCUAUUAAGUAAAAUUGUAUCGUCAUCCUCUAUGUUUGAUUUUCUGUCUAUUAUAAGAGUAUGGACGUCUUCCCAAGUUUGGGGACGUUUAGGAGCAACUUCAAACCAAAGUUCAUGUGGCUUCCCGAUGCAACCAUGCCAAUGGCAUAAUUCUCCAUAAUGACUAGUAUAGUCACAAGGUUUACUUGUAAAAAGACCCUUAGUGGUAACUGGAGCAAUAGAAGAUAAGGUAUAAUCAUUGUUGUUGUGACUAGUGAAGUCACCCAAAAUGGUGUUCUCAGUUGUAGUAUUUCCGAAGUCAUCACAACAAUGAUUAUACCUUCUUGUGGUUUCGGUAUAUGUCGGGACCCCGAUCCUAAGCCAUAGGAAUCCAGCCUAUAACACAUCGCAUCCCUUUGCGGUCUCACGCACGGUUAACCCCAUGGCUGCCACCUUACCUUAGCCGGGACCGUUUGCGCCUUUUGACUCACAUAUGCAUUUGUGUCGCUAGCAUUCCAAUGUCAAAGAACUCAGGUCGACAUAACUAGUCAUAAACUCAAGUGGCUCAAGUGUACAGAGACAGGCAUACAUAAUCCAGCAAAGCAGGUGUCGGUCAUCAGCGAGUGUAGACGAUUCGUAGGAAGCUACAAGGACUCCAUUACCUCGCGUGACAUUUCCCCAUAGGGCAGACACAGCAACUAAGAAGGAUACAUGUCGGUCAACCAAUUAGUCCGGAGCAGUAGCGAACUACCAAGGCUCGGUGGAAACACAAAGGGGCAUUUCUCUGUACAGAGAGCUACUAAGGGCAUACGACUAGGUGUCAAAUCCCAUACAUAUCACAGUGCAUCACACGUACGCAUGACAUACUCAAUAUGCAUAGAUACAACAAUGGCAUCACAACAUAACCAUACAACUACAUAACGUUUAUUUAGAAGACUCGGAAGAGUCUUGCAUAAUAUGUUCAUACAGAUAGGGGUCACAUGACCCGACACUCAAGUCAUACAAGUAGAGUCAUACAAACUGAACGGAAGCAUAAAAGUUGUCUAAGUACAGACAGUUGAAAGGAAAAGGCAUAAAGCCUGACUAUCUACAGAUCCCUUCUGAAAGGGCCAGGUCGUAGCUGGGACACCAGCUACUCGUCAUCAUCGAUGUCUAGAUAGAACCCACAUGUUGGCUCGUGGGUAUCCUGUGCAACAUUUAUUAAGCAAACAUGAGUACAAAAGUACUCAGCAAGACUUUAGAACAGAUCUAUCUACUCAUGCACAGGUAUCAACAAAGGGGGUUGUCGUGUUUCAUGCAGCAAGCCAGCUUUGACUCUUGGCUAGACUAAACUACAAUUUUAAAUAGUUUUAACAACUUUGAUAAGUCGUACACAAGUCCACUACCACCACAACAAUACACUAUCAUGGAUUCCUUUCCGUCUCCCUACGAAAAUGCCAUACAUGAUACUCACACUUGUCUUGAUACUUUUUUGAGUAGCCAUUAAAGUUAUCUAUGAACAACAUAUGUUUCCAAGUAGUCCAUAUCCGCGGACGCUUUCGAAUAGAUCAUAACCCUGCAGGUGUGUACUUCUUCACACACGCUCUCGCCACUUAUCGCCAUGUGCACGUCAUGCACCUCGGCAACCUUCAAGCAGAAGCCCAGCGAGGGAGUCGGCCACGACCGUUAACCAAGCUAAUACCUAGUCCAGGUUUGUCGCCUAUUUGAGAGUGAACCCGCACGGAAGUCCGGCCGAGGUUUCCGCCACGGCCCCAAAUGAUGUGUGCAGGGUUCCCAAGCCCACCAUCCGGGUGCCACUUGGUACACCGUGCCACUGCCUACCGCAUCAUAUCCCACCUCUAAGGUCAGCACUAUGCACAGCCUCCAGCAUGACUAUAAACACCAGAAACUACUUGCAACUCCUAGACUGAGUACUAGGUGAUUAAUAAGCUGAGAGGGUCAAUUAAGUAUCCCAACGUGUGGUAGUAUCUAGUCUUGGAUUACAUACACGGAACUCAAUUCCUAAGGACGGUUCCAAUGAAACAACCCGCCACGUACUCCUACAUAGCCUUUCAUCGGUACCUUUACAAAAUCAUGUUCCACACUUAUUCUUUGUCACUAGAACACAUUCAUCCAUUCCCGUUCAUCACCCAGAUGAAACAGACCUGACACAACUCUAGGCAUAGCAAGCAUAGCAGGAAAAGGCACAUCAUGGCUCAAGCAACUACCAGGUAUGCUAGGUUGCAAGGUUUGGAUAUUUACUGUGACAAUGACAGGUCAUGCAAAGGAAUAGGUUCAGCUACCGAAGUAAAGCAUUUGAAAUAUUUUGUCCUAAUGCAAUAAGUGGGAGCAGGAGCAAGAACAUGGGAUUAUAUCGGGAUGAUCAAAAGAGUGCUUGCCUUGUUGCUCAGCAGAGGGAUUAAAUCAUUUAGUUGGAUAUUCGGACGUAUCCGGAAGGGCAGAGCCUACCAAAACAAUAACGACAAUCAAUAACAAUCAUAUGCAACAAUAUGAUGCAUGAUCAUGGCAUGAAAUGAAAUGUAGUAUGAGCUAGUGUGGUUAUCAAAUCUUUGUAUGGAUCUGAUUUGAAUUCAAAAUUAAAAUAUUAAUUAAAGUAAUAUAUUUAUCAAAUUCAUUUAAUUGAUUUGACCUGAUGUUGUUUUAUAACUUUGUUUGUCAUGCAUGAAAAUAGCACCAUUGUGUUCAUUGAAUUUUUCUGAUCAAUUUGCAUAUAUUACUUAUCAAAUUUGGAGUUCUAUUUAAUUUUCUAUGAAUUUACAAAGUUUUGCGCUUAUUCUGAAAUAUUUAAGUUACAAAAAUACUAUUAUUGCAUCAGCAUGACAUCAGCAGGUCAGUCUGGCCGUUGAAAGUCAAACCUGACCUGUGGGACCCACUCGUCAGUGACUCUGGCUAGAUUUUAAUUAAACUUUAUGUUGAUUAGCUAGUUAACAUGGACUGGCCCACAUGUCAGUGACUAAUUAGAUUUUUAAUUAAUUAAUUGAUUCUAUUAGUUUAAACUUAACUUCUCAGGGUUGGCCCCACCUGUCAUAGACCCACGGGGUCAAACCCACCGGCGAUGGGGUCAAACUAACCGGCAGCGAGCCUCCGGUGACUCGAGGGAUGAUGGAUGGCAUCGGAAAAGCGACUCCAAUGUCCAAACGCGCGGCGAAGGGCACUAGGAGAACGGCCACUCGAUGGCGCGCACAUUGGAGCAAGCCCGAGGAGCUAGGGUGACUGGAAUCAACGCCGGCGACGAGCUUGGCGGCGGCCGAAGCUCGGGCCUCAUCAGGAUCACUGCUAUGGGGCUCAACACGCAAGGGGUUGGGCUCCUAAGGCACCUGCUUGUCGAGCUGACGCCGAUGGUGGCCUCAGAUCGACCAACCGAUCACCGGAGCAUCACCGGCGACGAGCUCCCGCGGCGGAUCUCGUCGGGCUCUGGUGGAAUCGGGGCCUAGAGCAUGGGAUCGAGGGGGAAAAGAUCCCUGAGCUCACAAGGGAUGCAGAUGCGUCGAGAGUAGGCUCGGGGAUGGCCUGGAGAAGGAGAACGACGGCGGCGAUCAACAGCGGUAUGAGUAAGAAGGCGACGGCGAUCUGACGUCUUAGGGGCUCUCGGCGUCGUGUGGCUUACUUGGGAGCUUCAGAAUGUCACAACGGUUCUCCCACGCGGCUCUGAGGAGAGAAAGGGGGGCUGGAGCAGCUUGUCGACGGCGAGCUCAAACUUCGACCAUGGCGGCCAGAGAGGGGGAAGGGGAGAGAGACCGAAUGAGGAGGAGGAGAGGAUGGGAAUGGGGUGCGGGGGAGCAUAUCCAGCUCGCCAGCACAUCACCGAGGCCAGGCAGGCACCCAGGUGCGUGCCAUCGCCGGAGAGAGCGGCGGCCACCUCCUGCUGCCUACUGGCGGAGGAAGACGAGAGCGAGGGAGAUGGGCUGGGCCAAGGUAAGCGCUAGAUAGGAUUUUUCUCAUUUCCUUUCUUUUUUGAUUUCUGGUUUAAACUUUCUGACAUUUGUUUGAUUUUAUUUUUGGAUCCAAACUAUUUCUAAAAUAGUGAAAAUAAUGUUGGGGUUUUAUUUGGAAUAUUUCCAAACCCACAUAAAAGAUUCAACAUUUUAUGAUAAUCAGAAAUAUUUAAAACCACUUAAUUCAAUAUUAUCAGUGGCUUUUGUGGUUUAAAUAAAAUGCCAAAUGGAUUUUAAAAAUAAGUUACAACCCUGAAUUGUUGUCUCCAAUAUUUAUCAAAAAUGCUGGACUUUUAUGAAGGCCAUUUUGGAUUAAUUGAUUUAUCACAAGUUUUGAAUUGAGUUGAAUAUGGAAGUGCUAGGGUUUAUCUUAGAUUUCUAUUUCCAUUUUCAAUGCAAUAAUAAAACAUGAGCACAAUCUUGCUAGACUUCAAAUAGAAACUAGGGAUGUGACAGUAUAAGACUCUAAAGCAAAAACUAGAGAUCAAGUGUUUCGUGGUCCACUUCAUGGAUAGGAUCCGAAAAGCAACGCCUGAGUUGCGAGAUGUGAAAAACAUCAUGAACCUUGGAAAGAUGCGGAGGAAGUUCCAAUUGGUAGGCAACUUCUCCUUGUUUGGCAAGAAUGCGAAAAGGACCAAUGUAACGAGGAGCCAAUUUGCCUUUGAUACCGAAGCGAUGGGUACCCUUCAAAUGUGUAACCCGAAGGUAAGCCUUCUCGUCAACUUCAAAGGUCACAGCCUUAUGAUGACGAUCAUAUUGGCUCUUUUGACGAGAUUGGGCUGUUUUCAACUUUUCACGAAUAAUGCGAACUUGCUCUUCUGCUUCCUGGAUCAUAUCCGGACCAAAGAGUUGCCUCUCUCCGGUUUCUGACCAAUUAAAAGGUCUUCGACAUCUUCGUCCAUAGAGAACUUCAAAAGGGGCUUUGCCCAAGCUUGACUGAUAACUAUUGUUAUAAGAAAAUUCGGCGAAUGGAAGGCACUUCUCCCAAUUCAUACCGAACGAUAUAACACAAGCUCGAAGCAUAUCCUCUGGGAUUUGAUUCACUCUUUCUACUUGACCACUUGAUUGAGGAUGGAAAGCAGUGCUAAAAGAUAGGUGAGUCCCCAUGGCAUUCUAAAAACUUUCCCAGAAAUGAGAAGUAAAAAUACUUCCACGAUUUGAGUUAAUCUCCAGAGGAACACCAUGAAGAGACACUAUUCGAGAGAUGUAUAACUAUGCUAGUUGGCUAGCUGUUAUACUCUCGCGAACUGGAAGGAAAUGGGCUACUUUGGAAAGACAGUCAAUGACCACAAAGAUAGCAUUAUUUCCUUUCUUGGUUAUGGGAAAUCCAGUGAUGAAAUCCAUACUAACUUUAUCCCAUUUCCAUUCAGGAAUAGCUAAAGGUUGAAGGGUGCCAGCAGGCCUUUGAUGUUCUGCCUUAACUCGACGACAAACGUCACAGUUAGCAACGAACUCAGCAAUUUCUCUCUUCAUCCUAGUCCACCAGAACCUCUAGCGUAGGUCCUGAUACAUCUUAGUACUACCAGGAUGAGUGGUGAGAGGAUAAUCAUGAGCCUCCUUAAGGAUCAACUGCCUUAGAUGUUGAUUCUUAGGAACCACUAGACGGUUCUAGAAGAACACAACAUCUUGAUCAUUCAUGGAGAAUUCGCCCUANNNNNNNNNNNNNNNNNNNNNNNNNNNNNNNNNNNNNNNNNNNNNNNNNNNNNNNNNNNNNNNNNNNNNNNNNNNNNNNNNNNNNNNNNNNNNNNNNNNNUCUGUCACAGAUUUAAAACAGAAAACAAAAUCUGAUGACGUGGCACGAUCUGAUUGGCCGUAUCCGUGCGCUCCUAAAACUAACUAACGAACGGCCCCUAUGUAGGGAAAAUGAUUCGGUUCACUUAACUGGUGGACCGGUUCUUUAAGAAAAACCGAAAAGGUAUGUCCCUUGUAAUCUACACCGUAGAUCUUGAUCUAAUAGGCAAACCAAAAAAAGAAAAAAAACAGGAUGAGGAGAAGGAGCCUUACCGUGACUGGCAGGGGCUGGAGGCCUUCUCCAGCGAGGUGGAUGGCAUGGGGGAGCAGCUCCGGCGUGGGGGGGAGUCGCUGCCGGGGUGGGGUGGCGGAGGAGGGGGGAUUCGGCUCCUGGGAGGGGCGGCGUGCUCCUGGCGAGGGGGGGCGAGGGAGAGCUCCUGGCGGCGUUCUCCUGGCAGGAAGCUUCGGCAGGGUGGGGUGACCAGGGGAGGGUGAUGAGGUGGAGGGAGGUGCAGCGGGUGGGGGUGGCACUGGCGGGGUCUAGGGGGAGGAGGGGGGUCACGCUAGGGCGACGGGGCGCUCGGCAGGGUCCUGGCGAGGCUCUCCCGAGGAUGAACUCCGGUGAGGUGGCGUGCGAGCUAGAGGCGAGGAGAGCGCGGGGUUUCGAGGGGAAUGGAACGAGGAGGCCAUGGGGGUUCUUAUAGGGGUGGCGGGAGGAGCUGGGAUGGAAAGUAUUUCGCGAAUCNNNNNNNNNNNNNNNNNNNNNNNNNNNNNNNNNNNNNNNNNNNNNNNNNNNNNNNNNNNNNNNNNNNNNNNNNNNNNNNNNNNNNNNNNNNNNNNNNNNNNNNNNNNNNNNNNNNNNNNNNNNNNNNNNNNNNNNNNNNNNNNNNNNNNNNNNNNNNNNNNNNNNNNNNNNNNNNNNNNNNNNNNNNNNNNNNNNNNNNNNNNNNNNNNNNNNNNNNNNNNNNNNNNNNNNNNNNNNNNNNNNNNNNNNNNNNNNNNNNNNNNNNNNNNNNNNNNNNNNNNNNNNNNNNNNNNNNNNNNNNNNNNNNNNNNNNNNNNNNNNNNNNNNNNNNNNNNNNNNNNNNNNNNNNNNNNNNNNNNNNNNNNNNNNNNNNNNNNNNNNNNNNNNNNNNNNNNNNNNNNNNNNNNNNNNNNNNNNNNNNNNNNNNNNNNNNNNNNNNNNNNNNNNNNNNNNNNNNNNNNNNNNNNNNNNNNNNNNNNNNNNNNNAACUUUGGUUUUUCUUGGCUCAAAUAUUUUUCAAAAAUACCCCUGAUUUUGGGAGGGUCAUUUUCCUCCGCUCUUUCUUGCUUGCAAGAAUUAUUUUCCGGCACUUCUUGCACGAAGAAAACAAAUAGAAAUGCAAAAGAAANNNNNNNNNNNNNNNNNNNNNNNNNNNNNNNNNNNNNNNNNNNNNNNNNNNNNNNNNNNNNNNNNNNNNNNNNNNNNNNNNNNNNNNNNNNNNNNNNNNNUAGUAUUUCCGUAAUGCUUACCUCAAAAGCCUUGAUCUUUUGCGGGAGCAGCGAGUCUUGAUUGUUUCCGAGACCAAGUUGCCCGUUUUGAUUGCGUCCCCAGCUGAAACAAAUUAAGCAGCAGCAGGUAGGCACUAAGUGAAGGGAAACACAUGAAACUUAUUGCGUUGGAGGACAAUACGUACUGUUUAAUAAGGUUUUGAGCCUUAAGAGCAUCUUUAGUAGAACCCUCCCCUCAAACCCUUAAAAAUAACCGCUUUUUUAUAGUUUUCGUCGACAAAACGACGUAGACUAGAACCCUUAAACCCUUAAACCCGUAAAAAAAAUUAAAGGUCCAACCCGCAAACCCCUUCCUAGCCUGUAAAAGUAAGGGUUGGGAGGGAAAACUGCCCCCAACCCGUACUCCACUUCCCACCUCGCGCGGGAGGCAGUUGGUUCCCGCCCGCGCGAGGAAGUUGCCUCGGCCGCCGCCGCCCCGCCUCCCCCGCGCUCCGACCGCCGCCCCGCCUUCCCCCNNNNNNNNNNNNNNNNNNNNNNNNNNNNNNNNNNNNNNNNNNNNNNNNNNNNNNNNNNNNNNNNNNNNNNNNNNNNNNNNNNNNNNNNNNNNNNNNNNNNCCAGCUUACUUGUGAUAGCCCAGACCGACGUUCCAGAAGAUUCCCCCCUUUAUUCCGUUUCUGUCGUGUGAUUAGACUUAUUCGUUGCAUCGUCAUGUAGUUUGCAUCAUCGCAUCAUGCANNNNNNNNNNNNNNNNNNNNNNNNNNNNNNNNNNNNNNNNNNNNNNNNNNNNNNNNNNNNNNNNNNNNNNNNNNNNNNNNNNNNNNNNNNNNNNNNNNNNNNNNNGAGAGCCGCCGCUAAACCCCGUUGCACCGCAGACCUAAACCUCCCCUCUCCUCUCUUAUUUGUUUUUGCGGUUGCUAAGAUUUCCCAUUUUUAAACCUCUAUUUAAAAAGGGUUCAUCUUUUUCUUUUCAAUAAAAGGGCCCUUUUNNNNNNNNNNNNNNNNNNNNNNNNNNNNNNNNNNNNNNNNNNNNNNNNNNNNNNNNNNNNNNNNNNNNNNNNNNNNNNNNNNNNNNNNNNNNNNNNNNNNNNNNNNNNNNNNNNNNNNNNNNNNNNNNNNNNNAAAAGGGCCCUUUUAUUAAAUGUGGGGGCAACCCUUGGAUUUUCUUUAUUUUCUCCUUUUGUUUAUUUUAAAUCCGCCUCGUUUUCUUUUCCUCUUUAAAGAGCUUUAUUCUAAUCUUUAAAUAAAUGAGGUUGAAUUUUGUUCUCGUGUCAAAAGGAGUUUGAUUUUAUUCUUUUGUAAAAAAAAGGGUUUUAUUUUUAUUCUUUAAAAAAAAGGUUUCAUUUUUAUUUCUUUAAAAAUGCCCAAUCUAUUUAAAGUUGGGGUUUGUUUUAAAGGGGUCAAAAGGCAUUUUAUUUUAGUUUAUUUUAUUCUGUUAAAAACCUUUCUUUAUUUACAGAUUUCGGUUUUAAAGGUUUUUUUAAAAAAAACAUCAGGGGGAGGACCCAGGCCAAGGCCCAGCCGGCCAAGGCCCAGGCCUCCCCUCGCCAGCCUGCCCUAGCGAGCUGCCCAGUGCCGCAACCUCCUCGUUCCUCUNNNNNNNNNNNNNNNNNNNNNNNNNNNNNNNNNNNNNNNNNNNNNNNNNNNNNNNNNNNNNNNNNNNNNNNNNNNNNNNNNNNNNNNNNNNNNNNNNNNNAGCCAAGAAGGAACAACAACAUCAAGCUCAGGUGAAAGGGCUAAGUCAAAGGUAUCAGUUCCUUUGACGUUAGUGGUGCGGAGUGAUGAUCAGCGAAUAAAAGUAUACACUCAAGUAUGGAUCAUCAGUACUCUUUUAUGAUUCUUGAGUCCUUAGGGAUCCCACACUAUUAAGAGGGGAUCACAGGUUUUGCGAUGAACUUGCUCAAACUACAUCUUCACUUUCUGCUCAGACCACAUCUCCACUGCUUUGCUGUUAUCUGAAAACAGAACAAGUGCCUCGGACAUCCGGCUUCCUCCCGACGUCCGAGGGCCGGACGACCGACUACCUCGGAAAUCCGGAAUCCUAUACCAGAGAAAUCAGAGCCAUAUAACUCGGACUUCCGGCUCCCUCCGGACGUCCGAGGCCCGGAUAUCCGACCAGCUUCGGAAUUCCAGAACUAUGCACCAGAGAAACUUGAGCCAUAUAACUCGGACUUCCGGCUCUCUUCGGACGUCCGAGGGCCGGUCAAGGGUCGGACGACCGACCAGCUUCGGAAAUCCGGAGCCCUGCACCAGAAGAACAUGUGCUCUAUAACUCGGAUUUCCGGCUGCCUCCGGACGUCCAAGGACCGGACGUCCGACCCCCGUCGGAAAUCCGGAACCUACCACCAGUACAAGUUGAGCUGUAUAACUCGGAUUUCCGGUCGUCUCCGGACGUCCGGUCGGUGAUAAGUUCAACAUAGGUUCAGUCAUAUCUACAGGCCUCGGACGACCGACCCCUGUCGGACGUCCGGUCGCUGAUAAAUUCAAAAUAGGUUCAGUCGUAUCUACAGGCCUCGGACGACCGACCCCUGUCGGACGUCCGACCCCUCGCGGACGCCCGGACUUCCGGCAACUGUCGGACGUCCGGACCCUGUGUGACUUAAAGCACCACCAACGGCUGGAUUUCACUCUCCACUAUAAAUACCCCCCUCCCACUUCGUGAGAGGGUUGCCCAACACAGCCUUAUCCUCAUAAGAACACACUUCUACCUGACACACAUUUGCUCACACCAAAUCUUAGAUCCCAAGAGCAUUUGUGAGCCCCUUUGAGAGUUGUUCCAAUCAAAAGAUAGAUCGUCUCCCUCUCCUCCUCUCAACCCAAGCUAUUUGAGAUUUGAGCAAGUUUUGAGCAUUCCCGUGAUCUUGUUACUCUUGGAGGUUGGACACUCCUAGGCGGUAGGAGUUCUUCGGAGAGGAAUCAAUCCGUGUGAUUACCCCCCGGAAAAGUUUGUGAGGGUUUGGAAGCCACCUCAAAGGCUUACCACUAGUGGUUGAGAAACGCCUUCGUGGUGUUAUCUCAAAGGGAGAAUAGGGUGAGCCUUCGUGGCGUUGGUGUGCCUUCGUGGUAACAUCCACCUCUCUAACGGUGACUAGCUUCCCUCCAAGGAAGUGAACACCGGGAUACAUCUUCGUCUCAGUGACCUUGGUUAUCCUUAACCCUAACUCCUUACUUGUGGUUUACUUGUGUUACUUGAGCAUACGUACAUUGCAUAUUGUUUGUGCUCAUUAUAUUGUGUUGGCCAUUUCUUGUACAAGAUUAAUCAUUCAAUCAUACCCUCUAUAUCCACACGUUCAUACUUGCAGCCUUUGAUCGUGUGAUAUAGUGUGAUCUAGUAUCUUGUGUUGUUUCACCUACUUGUCGUGUGAUAUAGCUCAAGUAAGUUGUGUAACUUACCUGUGCUUGUUAGUAACUGUAUUGUGUCCAUCUUGGUAGAUCGUGUUGUUGAUACACGUUGCAGUGUCUAGUGCAUUUAGGAUUUGUGCUUGACAANNNNNNNNNNNNNNNNNNNNNNNNNNNNNNNNNNNNNNNNNNNNNNNNNNNNNNNNNNNNNNNNNNNNNNNNNNNNNNNNNNNNNNNNNNNNNNNNNNNNUGAUAUCAGAAAAUCAAAGUGCAUUUAUUCCUGGUCGCCUUAUAACAGAUAAUGCUCUUAUUGCUUUUGAAAGUUUACAUACUAUAAGAUCUCAAAAAGUGAAAAAGCCUUAUUUUGCGCUUAAGAUCGAUAUGAUGAAAGCUUACGACCGUGUGGAAUGAAAUUAUCUUCGUGAUUGUCUAUCUCAUUUGGGCUUUGCUGAAUCCUGGAUACAAUCGGUUAUGAGGUGUGUUACUUCCACUCGAUAUGCUGUCCGGGUCAAUGGAGAUCUCACGGAGCCUGUCAUACCAACCAGGGGUAUUCGUCAAGGUGAUCCAAUCAGCCCCUACCUUUUUCUUCUUUGUACUGAAGGGUUGUCAUGUCUGCUUAAACAGCAGGAAAACCAAGGAGUGCUACAUGGUAAUAAAAAUGGUCGUCUUGGUCCUGCUAUUUCUCAUUUACUGUUCGCAGAUGACAGCAUUUUCUUUGCAAGAAGUGACAGGAGGAGUGUGGAGGCUUUGAAAGAAACACUUCAAUUAUAUUGUGAGGGGUCGGGUCAAAAGAUAAAUCUGGAUAAAUCUUCCAUUUUCUUUGGUAAUGGUUGUCCAGAGGUGAUCAAGAAUGAGGUUAAACAUAGCCUGGGUGUUUUUAAUGAGUCUCUCCAGGAUUCAUAUCUUGGUAUGCCAACUGAGGUUGGGCGAUCACCUACAAUGACAUUCAGAUAUUUGUAUGAUCGUAUGUGCCAGCGCAUCAAUGGUAUGUCUGAUCGACCUUUAUCUAGAAAGGGAGUGGAGAUCUUAUUAAAGUCUGUGGUUCAGGCAAUUCCUACAUUUGUGAUGAGUUGUUUCCGUUUACCUGUUGGUACAUGUGAGCAAAUGAGGAGAACUAUCUNNNNNNNNNNNNNNNNNNNNNNNNNNNNNNNNNNNNNNNNNNNNNNNNNNNNNNNNNNNNNNNNNNNNNNNNNNNNNNNNNNNNNNNNNNNNNNNNNNNNCAUCAACCUCUUUAUUCAUAUAAGCCAUAAAAUAAUUUUCCUCCUUAGUUCUCUACGAAAGUAGCUAUUAUGACCAAACUGUGUAUACAUGAAGCUUUUAACACUAGCUUCAAUCUCUGCCAACCUUUUAUAGUGAGCAUCAUGAUCAUUUGGUUGGGCCAUACAGGUCUUAGCAUGCAGACAAGCACACAAGCGAACAGAAAGCAAGCGAAAGAAAGGGCGAACGAAAAAGGCAAAUAUUUUUGUAAAUUUUGUUUUUUCAGAAGUGGGGGAGAGGAAAACGAGAGGCAAAACGCAAAUAAUGUAAAUGCAAUACAUGAGUUUGCGAUAGUUACUUGGAUAUGCUUCACUUUGAAUGCUCCCCGGUAAUGGCGCCAGAAAUUCUUCUUGCUACCUCUUGAUCUUGCGUUGGUUUUUACCUUGAAGAGGAAAGGGUGAUGCAGCACAGUAGCGAUAAGUAUUUCCCUCAGUUUGAGAACCAAGGUAUCAAUCUAGUAUGAGCAUCAAGAUGAGGCACCAAUGUACCUGCGCAAAAACAAACAAACUUGCACCCAACGCUAUAAAGGGGUUGUCAAUCCCUUCACGAUUAUUUGCAAGGUGAGAUCGAAAGGUGAAAAGUGCAACAAAGUAAUUUUGUAGAUAUGAAAAUAUGAUGUGAAGUAGACCCGGGGGCCAUAGUGUUCACUAGAGGCUUCUCUCAUGAUAGCAAGUAUUACGGUGGGUGAACGAAUUAUUGUCGAGCAAUUGAUAGAAUCGCGCAAAGUCAUGAUGAUAUCUAAGGCAAUGAUCAUACAUAUAGGGAUCACGUCCGAGACAAGUAGACCGAUACUUUCUGCAUCUACUACUAUUACUCCACACAUCGACUGCUAUCCAGCAUGCAUCUAGUGUAUUGAGUUCAUAACAAACAGAGUAACGCCUUAAGCAAGAUGACAUGAUGUAGAGGGAUAGAUUCAUGCAAUAUGAUAUAAACCCCAUCUUUUUACCCUUGAUGGCAACAACAUGAUGCGUGCCUUGCUACCCCUUCUGUCACCAGGUGAGGACACCGCACGGUAUGAACCCAAAACCAAGCACUUCUCCCAUGGCAAGAAUUAUAGAUCAAGUUGGCCAAACGAAACCCACAACUCGAAGAGAAUUACAAGGAUACGAAAUCAUGCAUAUAAGAGAUCAGAGGAGACUCACAUAAUAUUCAUAGAUAAUCUGAUCAUAAAUCCACAAUUCAUCGGACCUCGACAAACACACCGCAAAAGAAUGUUACAUCAGAUAGAUCUCCAUGAAGAUCAUGGAGAACUUUGUAUUGAAGAUCCAAGAGAGAGAAGAAGCCACCUAGCUACUAGCUAUGGACCCGAAGGUCUGUGGUGAAGUACUCAUGCAUCAUCGGAGAGGCAAUGGUGUUGAUGAAGAAGCCCUCCGUGUCCGAAUCCCCUUCUGGCAAGGCACCAGAACGGUCCCCGGAUGGGAUCUUGCGGAGACAGAAGCUUGCGGAGGCGGAAAAGUAUUUUCGUGGCUCUCUUUGGUGGUUUUGGAUUUUUAGAGAAUUUAUAGGCGAAAGAGGUAGGGAAAAAGAGCCAUGAGGGGCCCACAAGCCUGCCAGGCGGGCUCCCCUAGGUUGCGGCUAGGGGGCUUGUGACCUCCCCCGAGGUCCUUUGCCUUGGUUCUCAAGUCCUGUGUGUAUCUUCUGUUAUGGAAAAAAUCAUCCCAUGGAUUUUAUUCCGUUUGGACUCCGUUUAAUACUCUUCUCUGAAAAAGGUCGAAAACACGGAAAAAACAGAAACUGGCACAUGGCAGUGAGUUAAUAGGUUAGUCCCAAAAAAUAUAUAAAACAGCAUAUUCAUGCAUACAAAGGAUCCAAAGUUGACAAGAUAAUAGCAUGGAACCAUCAAAAAAUAUAGAUACGUUGGAGAUGUAUCAUGGAUCGAAGGAAAAUGCAAAUUUGUAGGUCUUCCUUUAGAAACACCUCUAAAUUCCCCCACUAUAAAAGAGUAAAAAAAAUCUUUGAAUUCAUCCGGCCUAGUGUUAUCUAGUAUUCCCUAUGGAGGAAGCAUGCAUAUUUCACAGAAACGUGCAAAUGGCAAUUCAAAGGUAUGUUCAUAUAAUUGGAAUGCUACUAUAGGCACAUCAUGUCUAGCCAUGAAAUGAAAAUGUUGCACAAAAGUAUUGUUGAGGAUUUGAUACUGACCGCACUUAUCUGCAACGAAGUUGGUUAGGCCGGAGGUAGCUAAGAACUAAUCGAACUCGUGAUAGAAAUUGGCUCCGUCGAUGAACGUGUUGCAUGGACAUUCACAUGGUUUAACCUCGGCCCUUCGAGGGAGAAUUUUCUCUGAUGGGCCUCUCGACGUUUGCUCUGAACUCGGGCUUCAAGAUCCCCUCGCGAAUAUGCCCCCGAACAUUUUCGUUCACAAAAAGUUCUAAAAAUUUUGUCUACGAAAAGGAGGUGAAUAAAACAUUACAAAAUUGAUAACAACAACUCAUGUAGAUGUCUGAAGGCUAUAUCAAGCAUUAAAACUGCUUAGAAUCAAAUGAAUUGAACAUGCAAGCUUAUUUCAUUGGCCACCAACAAUACCAAAAUAUGCAAAAUAUAAAUGACUAGAACAAAAACUCAUUGCACACGCACAGGAGUCACAUAUCAAUGAACAAUUCCGCCGAGCAUUUUUGGAAACAGAGUUCCGUGCAAAGAGAUCAACAAUUUCGUAUCUAGGAGCGAGAACUUGGGUAAGAAUAGAGCAUGAUUUUUUUGUAGGUGGAAGAAGCUAAUGGACAUGAGAGGUAAGUGAGUGGGCUCCUGUGGGGCUCACAAGGGUAGGGUCGCACCCUCCACCCUUGUGAGCGGCAAGUGCACUAAUACGUCUAAUUUGCAUCAUGAUUUUGUAUUAAUAUUUAUAUUAUUCUUGGUAAUUAUUCCACUUUAUGAUACAAUUCUUAUGCCUUUCUCUCCGAAUUUACAAGGUACAUCACAAGGAGGUAAAUUUCCACAAACUAGAAUUCUGGACCUCAAAACCAAGAAAAAGGCUAAAGAUUCACUAGACUCCAAAUGACCCCAAACUUCAUGAGGAUUUUUUGUGGAAUAUAUAUGAAUUUAUGGAGCAAGAAUAUACUAGAGGGGGGCUACCUAUUGGUGCCAAGCCAACAGGGCACACCCACCCCCCUUGAGCGUCCCCUGAGGGCCUGGGGCCACCUCCCAGGUGCUCCGGCCUCCCUCUUCCGCUAUAAGUUGGGUAUUUAUCUAGAAAAAAAAUGAAAAUAUACUUUUCGGAUGAAUCGUCACCGUAUCGAGGUGGAAACCGGGAGAGAGGCCCUUUUGCUCUUGGCCACAGCAAUUCUACCAGAGAAACUUCCCUUCAGGAGGUGGAAAUUGAAGCCAUCGUCAUCACCAACUCUUACUCCUUCGUGGGAGGACCAUUCUUCAUCAACACAUUCACCAGCACCAUCUCAUAUCAAACCCUAGUUCAUCUAUUGUAUUCAAUCUUUAUCUCAAAACAUCAGAUUAGUACCUGUGGGUCACGAGUAGUGUUGGUUACAUCUUGUAGUUGAUGCUUGCUAGUUUAUUUGGUGAAAUUUAAUAUGUUCAGAUCCUUAUUGAUAAUUAUCAUACCUCUAAUCUUGAACAUGGUGAUGAUUUGUGAGUAGUUACUUUUAUUCCCGAGGACAUGGGAGAAGUCUUCUUACAAGUAAUCAUGUGAAAUGUAUGUUGUUGCUUCUCUUAGUGCCGUCGUGUGAAAGUCGACUACAUGACACCUCACCAUAUUAUGGGCCUAAGGGAAGGCAUUGUGGAGUAAUAAGUAGAUGAUGGGUUGCUAGAGUGACAAAAUCUUAAAUCCUACUUUAUGCUUUAUUUCAUAAGGAGCUGAUUUUGAUCCCCAUGUUUCAUGCUAUGGUUAGAUUUAUCUUAAUGCUUCUUUUUUAGUUGUGGAUGCUUGCGAGAGGGGGUCCUUAUUCAAGUAAGAACAACACAUUAGCACCGGUCCACCCACAUAUCAAAUUGUCAAAGUAACAAACACGAAUCAACUCAACCUGAUGAACAUGACUAGGCAGAAAUACCCAUGUGUCCUCGAGAGUGCAUUUCUUCAUAUAUGAGUACUUUUAGUCCCGUCCUUUGCUAUAAAAAUUCCCAUAUUUUUACUAUUGUUUCUUGUCACUUGUUACAAAUUAGCUUGGUAAAAAACUAUCCAUCACUCUUUCUUACAUCAUUUGCAAAGAAAGCUCCUGAAAACUGCUUAUCAUUUCCUUCUGCUCCUCGUUGGGUUCGGCACUCUUACUUAUCGAAAGUACUAUGAUUGAUCCCCUAUACUUGUGGGUCAUCAGGACUCUUUUCUAGCACCAUUCUCAGGGAGUGAAGCGCCUUUGGUAAGUGGAAUUCGGUAAGGAAACAUUUUUGGUACGUGCUAAAAUGUACAAUUGCUUGUUACUUUAGAUAGUAAUCCUUUGAAGGGCCUGUUUAGGGGUAUCUUCACCCCGACCCGAAGUGGAAAAAGUUGCCCCCCAACCUACUAAACUUUCUGAAACUAUUUAUUAUGAGAUUCCUUUCGGGUACGUUAGAGAAGCUGCUAGCUAAUCCUUAUGCAGGAGGCGAUAGAACUCAUCAAGACUACCAUUUGAUAUAUGUAGAUGAGAUUUGUGCAUUAUUUCAGCUUGCGGGUUUAUCCGAUGACAAAAUCAGGAAUAAUGUUUUCCCUUUAUCUUUCAAGGUAAAGACAUAAGUGAAGCACAUAGAGCAAAAGUAUCUAGCUCAAAAGAUAUAAGUGAAGCACUAUGAGCAUUCUAGCAAAAAUCAGGAUGAGUGCAUGUCUCUCUCUCAAAAAGGUAUGCAGCAAGGAUGAUUGUGACAACAAAAAGAAAUGACUCCUAAGAUACAAGACGCUCCAAGAGAAACACAUAUCAUGUGGUGAAUAAAACUAUAGCUCCAAGUAACGUUACCGAUGGAUUGAAGACGAAAGAGGGGAUGCCUUCCCGGGGCAUCCCCAAGCUUAGGCUUUUUGGUGUCCUUUAAUUUGGCUUGGGAUGCCUUGGGCAUCCCCAAGCUUGAGCUCUUUCCACUCCUUAUCUCUUUGUCCAUGAGAACAUCACCCAAAACUUGAAAACUUCAGAACACAAAACUUAAACAGAAACUUGUGAUUACAUUAGCACAAGAAAACAAACUACCACUUCUUUUGGUACUGUAGAAAACUUGAAUUCUAUCUAUAUUGGUGUUGGGCUACUAUAUUCUCACUUUUCCAUGGCUAGUACCCCCCGAUACUAACCAUAGUUUCAUCAAAACAAGCAACCAACUCAACAAAAACAGAAUCUGUCAAAAAUAGACCAGUCUGUAGCAAUCUGUAUACUUCGUAUACUUCUGAUACCUCAAAAAAUCUGAAACAUUACGACGGCCUGGGAAAAAGGCAUACGAACCAGCAGAAAAAAGAAUCAACUCAAAAGCUCUUUCUGAAUAAAAAUGAAAAAUCAUCUCGUGAGAGAAAAGUUUCUGUCUUUUUCCAGCAGGAUCAAACAACCAUUACCAAGACUAGCCAUAAAGGUUUUGCUUGGCUCAAACACAAAAAAGAAACACAAAAAACACAAUCACAACAGAAUUGUGAUGGUGUGGACGCAAAAAAACGGAAAGAAAAGGAUAAAUUCAUUGGGUUGCCUCCGAACAAGCGCUAUUGUUUAACGCCCUUAGCUAGGCAUAAAAGCGAUAGAAUCACGUAUCGUCGUCUUUGGUGCUCAAACCAUAAGUAGCGUGAUCACUUAUCAUCUUAAGGUUUUCAUCUUUCUUGCUAGAUGAUUCACCACUAUUUUUGGGAACAAAAACAGACUUGGUGACCUUAUUGUGGGCAAAGUUUGGAGUAUUCCGCAGAGCGGCAAAAGCGGAACCCAAGUUGGUUAUAACAUCCUCUAGCUUGCCAAUCCUAACGGAAUCAUGACCUAGUUUUUCGUUAACUGUGGGUUCCUUCUCCUUUAAAUUUUUCAAAAUGAUUCCUAGCUUGGAUCCGUACUGAGUGAUUUGAUUGUGGAUCUUUUUAUCCAAAUUCUCAAUAAGCUCGAUCGUAGCAACUUUAUUUUCAAUGACAUCCAGCCUACGCAUCACAUGUUCCAGAGUUAAGGUAGUUCCAUUAAACAUGAGUGGAGGUGAGCCUACCAAAUUUAUCACAGCUCCGUGAGAAUCAACGGUAUGGCUACCCAAGAAAUUUCCACCUACGAUGGUGUCAAGAAUAUACCUAUUCCAAGGAGAAACACCCACACAAAAACUGCGAAGCAGGACGGUAGUGGAUUGCUUAUGAGUAGAUCUACUCUAAGCGUUGCAAAUCCUAUACCAAGCGUCCUUUAAGUUUUCUUCCUCAAUUUGUUUGAAAUUGAGAACUUCGCUCUCAGGAGUAUCGUUCGAAGUGGUGGACCUAGCCAUGAGGACAGGUAGACUAUCCCACACAGACGAACAGAAAGCAAGCGAGAACCCUGGCCGCGGGGUGGGGGCUUGUGGGGCCCCUGCGGACCCCCUGCCUUGGCUCUCAAGUCUCCUGAUCUUCUUCCGUUACGGAAAAAAUCUUUUCGGGGAUUUUAUUCCGUUUGGACUUCGUUUCAAAUUCUCCUCUGAAAGGGGUCAAAAACAUGGAAAAAUAGGAACUCACACUUGACACUGAGUUAAUAAGUUAGUCCCAAAAAAUAUAUAAAAGGCAUGCAAAACAUCCAAAGUUUGACAAGAUAAUAGCAUGAAACCAUAAAAAAUUAUAGAUACGUUGGAGACGUAUCAAAGCACAAGAGCAAGGAGUUCAUUGAUCUACCACAUCUAUUACCUUUUGGAGGUUGGUGCCUCCUAGAUUGGUUAGGUGUCGCCUGGGAGCCUCCUACUUCGUGUUGUGGAGUUGAACCAAGAUGUUUGUAAGGGCAAGGAGAUCGCCUACUUCGUGAAGAUCUACCGUGAGUAAGGCUAGUCCUUCAUGGGCGGAUGCCGUGGUGGAAUAGACAAGGUCGCUUCUUCGUGGACCCCUUGUGGGUGGAGGCCUCCAUGAACUCUUGCAGUCGUUACCCUCCGUGGGUUGAAGUCUCUACUAACAUGGAUGUACAACAGCGCCACCUAUCGAACCAUGCCAAAAAUCAAUGUGUCAACCUCAUGUGUUUGAUCUCUCUACCUUACUCCUUUACUUUACACUUGCAUGUUUUACUUUUGGUUGCUAUACUCUUAGAACUGCAUGUGUAGGGUGUACUUGACUUGUUAUAACUCCCAAAGCUGCCUCUCAACUAAAAUUGGGAAAAUGCAAAAAAAUUAUCUUGUCAUGUAGUCUAAUCACCCCCCUCUAGACAUACUUUUGAUCCUACAUUUUGCAAACUUAGUUUUUCCCUAAAACUUCUCUCUCUCUUCCUCUCUCAGAAAUUUCUUGCGUGUGAGUUCUCUCUAAAUUCAUGGCAUAUUUUAAGUAUAGUUUCUCAAGGUUUUGUUAUAGUUCAACUACUUUUUCUAUUUUUAAAUAACCAGAACCAUUUUGUCUAAUCAUAUCUGACCUCUAGAAAUUUACAAAGGAACUUAUAGAUUCCUUUGGCUUCUGACCUCCAGUUUCCUAUCCUAGGUAGCCCUAGGUACCCUCAACACAUUGCCCCAAAACGUUUCUGGUUUCAAAUUUAAAAUUUUGAAGGUUUAACCAAAGUUUGGACCAGAAUUUAUAUUUUUCCUAAAAACCUAACUUAACCAUUUUCAAAAAUCUGAAAAUUUGCACAUAGUCUCUCGAAUCAAUGAGAGGCUACCCCAUAAAUUUUCAGCAUCUAACUCAUUUUUCUCAAGCCAAUUACAAUUCAUCGAGCAGGUGGUGGGCACUGCUCGAGGUGGGAGCAUAGCAACAUCAAUCUCACCAGUGUCCCGAGCCUAUCCACCACGUCGCACGGCCCUUUGGCCAAUUGCGCACGUCAGCGGUGAGCGGGCCUGAGGCCGCCAGCUUUGGCAAUGGAGCGAGUGACGGCUGCCACGACCGCCAGCAGCCAUUGCUACAAAGCCACGCCGCCUGGCACCGACCAAGCGCCCCGCGAGCUCCGCAUGCCCGUCCCACACCCAUGCGCGCCAUGAUGCUCGUCACCAUGCUCUCGAUAGUAGAGAGCACGCCAUCUGCCGUCGACGCGCCCGUGACGAGCUGCCCCAUUGAUAGCGUGCCUCUGUCUGUAAUGGCUCGUGUUCAGGAGCAAAAUGGAUCAGCCGCAGACCAUAGCAGAUAACCCGGCCACGUGAGCUCCUACAAAUCCUUUUGAAUCACUGCAAUUUGUCGUCGGAUUUGGUCCCCCGAGGCACCAUCUCUUGCCCGCCUAUAAAAAAGGCACCCCGAGUUAUUGUAUAGCCACCAAACCGACCAUACCUCACCACAGACUCGUCGAAACCCUUAGAAGCCUCCUGGAGGGCCUUCUUCCCCGCCUCCGGCGUUCCGAUUUUCUUCGGGCCUCGGCAAAAUUCUGCCAGGUGGAUGCAUCCCCGCGGCCCAGUUCUUGCGAGCAAGUUCCUCGAGAACUAGCCCUUCUAAUCCGCGCGCGAAUUCUGUGAGUGCAUGCCUUUUUCUCGAGAUCCCGCUCCAUCUGAAAUGCUGCCCACCGGAGUUUGGACCUGCCAUCGACGUGGUGCCCCCCAGCAAAUCUCUCCACCUCCAUCAGCUGCAGAACCUGCUGGUGAGUGCACCCGCAUGCUCCUUCCCUUCUGGUUCGUCGCAGGACGCCAUCAACGACAUCGCGAGCCUAUGCCGCCGGCGAGGUAGAUUCAAACCUCAAAGUGGAGGUCCACUGUCAGGAUUCUAAUCUUUCCGAACUGUUUUUUCUAAAGUGCAUUUCUCCAGAGUACUUUUUCCCUUCUCGUUUUCGUACUUUCAAUAGAGCGCUUUUCUUGUUUCCAGUCAGCCCCCUGGGAUAUUUCUGUUUCAUCACACAUCAGUCCCAGGGUUCAUUUUCUUUAUAACUUUUAAACUAGAGGGUCUUUUCUAGUGAUUCUUUUUGCAAAAUCUUUCUCUUGCUGUCUAGUUUAUUUUAAUAUUUAUUCAAAAAUAUUUUGAACCAAGAUUUUGGACUGUGGUAUUUAUGUUAGAAUCGACGCGUGUACCGUUGAUACCAAUGAGGGAAGCACCAAAGUUAACUUCACACAGCUCGAUCCCGACUUCGUCGAACCAGGCAAGUUGUUUAUGCAAUUGAUGUGAUUGUUUGUUGUUAGUAUUGUUAGUGUUUGCUGCAUAAGAAUACUUGCAUAUGAUGAAAUGCAUCAUAGUAACACCUGCUUAUGAGAUGAAUUAUUGCUUAACAAGGUUGAUCAUCAAGGUGAUGAUGAGAGGCCUUGGACAACUUAGUCACAUUGGACGUGAUAGGGUCUGAGCAUGCCAGUGGCAUGAUACCGUGUGGAUAAGUUUUAUAACUCCAGUGUCGGCAUAGAUUGAGUCUUGUUAGUAUGUCACCUUACUUUCCGUGCUACCACAUGUCUUUCCGGAAGGGAAUACGGUGUAAUAUGUCGCAAACCUAUUAUUAGGUACACACCAAGUAAAGGGUCGGGAUGAAGGUCUCCAUGGCCCUAGAAUAAAGCGAGUCAUCCGGUCAGGGAGGACGGGUGUUUCUGGUCCGGGACCAAGAGGGAGGGCACUCCCUUGUAGCGCAUGGUAGAAAUGUGAUCCCAUGCUAUUCGAGGAUGUUGGCCUCCCCAUCUAAGAGUUUUUCCCUUGAGAGCAUGCGUAACCCGGGUGAUGCUGGGCCUCGCUGGGUAAAAAUGGGUGUGUGUUGGUUCUGAGUGCUUACUUCUGAAAUACCGUACACAGGAUUAGUCUUAGUGACUAUGGAAACCCGUUGGUUGUGGGUAAAGAGUACAUCCUCCAUAGAGUCAAAACUAUUCGAGUAGCCGUGUCCACGGUCAAGGAUGAUUGCUUUUCAGGUCAAGUGUCGGUCUAAGUGUCGGUAUGUGGAGAAUGGGUGUGUUUAUGAAAGUGCUAAUAUUAACAUUCGACUAUAACAUGAUGAAACUUGGUUAUUUUAAAUAUCCCAAAGGUUGGUAGUACCACCCAGAUAUUCAUUUAUUUCUAUGCCCUUACUAUGGUGUCGCUAAGACUCCCGACUGAGGCGAGUAUUUACUUUUGUGCUCUUUCUAUGGUGUCGCUAAGACUCCCGACUGAGGCGAGUAUUUAGUUUUAUGGCCCUUCUGUGGUGUCGCUAAGACACCCGACUAGGGCGAUAUUUACUUUUAAGCCCUUUCUAUGGUGUCGCUAAGACGCCCGACGGUGGUUAUUUGUCUUACUUGUUAUCCUUUUGAGGCAUCUCUUCACACACCCGAUCGGUGCAUUUUUAUUUUUGUUUGGAUAUUUCGGGAGGACUACCGCCCGACUUAUCAACUAUAACUUAACUGCUAUUAAUUUUUAUACCAUGAUAAUUGUGAUAAUUAACCAUGCAUAUGGAAUUGUUGCAUUCAUCUUAUCUUUUGUAUAAAAUGUCUUGAGAGUACUUUCAAAGUAAUCACUGACUUGUUGAUGUGGCCAAAUAUGGAUGAAGGAGACCACAUGGAUGAAGAGUACGAUAGCGAGUCCGAUGCCUAGAGGAGUCCCAGUCAGUCUUGCGAUCUUGGAGUCUGUCAUUGUAUUAUUUUACAGCUUCCGCCACCACAAAUAAAUAGUGAAGCCUCACUCUGAUGCUUGUCAUGUGGUAGUACUUAAGCCGUGUCACUUCACUCUGAUGUGACAUGCCUACCUUUUAUGCGAGUAGUAGAGCUACCCCAUGACCAUUGUGAUUUAUCCACCCUUAUGUUAAGUAUGUGUGUGUUGUAAUAAGCUGUAGAGCGACCUUCGCUCUACCCUGUUUAAUAUUAAAUACUACUGGUUUUCUGUAUCAAGAUUGGUCUAUCAGUGUGAAUGAUUUUCUACACUGGUGACAUUCAUGGCUAAUUUCCAAUAAGUGUAUUUAUUUGGAAACCUGGCAACCUUAGUAUCAGGGCGAGGCUGAUUGCAGGAAACCAUUAGGUGUGAUAGCUAACAGGUUUAGCUAUUUUUUUUAUUUAUUAUUCUACAUAGUGUGGAGUUUUUUCUGUUAGUCAACAUAUAUUUAUGUUAUGACUAUCUGGGAAAAAAUUUCUACUGUGUAGAUGGCUAGCAACGGUUGUCCGUUGCAGGUCUUUGCCAACGAGCCCGCACGAUUUUCAUGACUCCUCUCAUUCAUUGCUAGGAUCGCGAUUGGACCCGAUGACUCGCACGGAGUACACGUUCUACUUCCACAAUAUUAGUGAUGCUCUGACUAUGCAUUAGGCCUCUAUGCAUUUUAUUGGUGCGAGUUGAGACCCACUGCCUUCGCUUCGUCGGGAGAGGCAUCCCUACGGAGAGGCACGCUAUGCAGAUGGCUGCCAGGGAGGCGAUUGCCCGUGUUCGGGACAGCAUUCGAGUGAUGAAGACUCAUCCUUAUUGCUAUCUCCCAUGCCACGUGUCAUACACUAGUCACUAUGCUUUUUCCUACCACACAAGAGAGGAUAAUGAGGCCAUUGGGAUGCUCGUGUAGUACCGCAUGGCCCCGGAGUCAGCCUUCGAUGGCUUAGUGGAUGCUCGUAUGGAGUCUCACACACGUCCCCCUAAGAGGAUUGAGCUUCUCCGUCCCGCGCCACCCUGGUCAUGCCCCUCCUCCUUAGCUUCGUGUGCACCAUCAACGCAACUAGUUAGCCAUCAGCUGCCUACACUUGAGGAGUUCAAUAAAGUUAUUGCUCCUACUCCCAUUAGAGAUGCUCCGCGUGCUAGCCCCGUGCGUGCUUUGCCGCCUCGCGCCAUCUGCCUAGAGCCUGUGAAGGAGGUAGUCGAGUCUCCAGCACCUUGUCUGGGACUUACCCUAGGCCGACCGAUCGAGGUUCCCUCCACCUCCACCUUGGAAUGGUGUAGCAGUGCAUCGGGACGCUUGUAUGAUAUGUAUCGUUAUGUGCUCGUAGGAUGAAGAUAAGUAGUCAUGUUGCAUCAUGUACGAUCAGGAGAAGUGCAUUACCUAAAUAAUAUGUCACAGAUGUGUGAGUAGAGCCCAAGUGAUGUAUUGUAUAAUUAUGCUCGAUGUAAGAUACGUACAGCAGUCCUUCUCCGAACACAACAAAUGUUUUAUGAAAAAUAUUUGAUGUUUCUCUUGGCCGUAAAAGCUUUUAUUUCCUAUUAUACUUGUAAUUCUCAUUUGGUUUUUGCAAUGUCAACCCAGAAUUUAGAAAUGAAUCUUCCCUGGACACGCUCCAUGCCAAGACUGUAGGAAGAGAAUCAUUCUACUGAGACAGGUAACAACUUCACUCAAGGACAGUCAAGUCAAGAAGACAGCGACUCGACAUUCUGGCAAGUGUGUUGCCUAUAUGAGCAAAGCCAACAGGAGCAUCUAGAAAUGAUGAGUCAGCUUAUAAGUAUGGGAAAUCAACAUGGAACUCACCAACAACACACGAGAUUGACUAAGUUACAAAAGACCCGCCCACCGGUCUCCUCACACGGCGAUAAACCGAUGGAAGACGAUGACAGGUUACGUGAUAUUGAAAGGAAACUUAUUAUUGCCUAAUGAUCCGACUACGAUAAGGUGCUAUACGAACCUCGUGGUCGAAAAUAUCCUACGCGUGCAUCCAAAUGAGAACAACAUCACCUGGGUCGUGUUCAAAGAAAGCUUUCGUGGGCGCUAUUCCCAAUAGUGUCAUGAAAAUCAAUAAAAGGGAGUUCGAGGACCUCAAACAACAGAGUUCCUUUGUAAUGGAAUAUCUGGAUCAAUUCAACCAACUGUGUCAAUAUGCUAUUGAUGAUUAAAAAACAAAACAGAAGAAAAUGCAAAAAAGUCCUUGAUGGACUCGCUCCCGCCUUGAAGUGUCAACUGGUUGUUCACACCUUACCCGAUUUCAAAACACUCGUGGACAAAGCCAUUAUGCUCGAGACCGAACGUCGUAGCCUGGACAACAUUCACAAACACCGUAACAUAAUAACUCAGCGCGAACCUGCAACAAUAGGCAGAAGACUAAAAACCCGAAGAGUUCAACGCCCCAUGCUCCAACCCCGACCAACAACUCCAGCACCCACUUUUAUGCAAGGAACAAGGACUUUACUCCCCGUGCACGCAACAACUGUUUCGCUUGCGGAGAAGCAGGACAGUACACGAGACAGUGCCCAAAGACAUGAAAUGGUGCGCAAAACCAAACAACCCCAAUAACAACUCUACACCAAGACGCAACAAUUUCAGACCCAAUAAUAACCACGACAAAGUUCAUGUGAACCAUGUGGCCAAGGAGGAUGCUAUGAACGCGCCAGAGAUAGUGCUCGAUAAGUUUCCUGUCAACAAAAUUCCUGCCAUGGUUUUGCUCGAUUCUGGAGCUCCCCAUUCGUUAAUUUCAAAAAAGUUUUCCUUGAAAGUCAAUUUUUUGAUCCUCCCCUAGGAAAAUUCGAUGACCAUCAAGUCCUCGGGAGUACAGAAAGUUACCAAAAAGUACUGCAAGGAUAUUACUAUUGAAAUUAAAAGUUUGUCAUUCUGGGCAAACCUAGUUGUGAUAGAGAGCAACAAUCUCGAUGUAAUUUGGGAAUGGAUUUGCUGAACACAAACAAAGGAUUUAUUGACUGCUUCAACCGGACCGUGAAACUCAUCCAACAUCAGGGAAAAGGAGUAAAAGUUGCAGCCUUGGAAAGAACCAAACCGACUCAAGCCCAACUAAAUAAAAUGGAUAUCUCUGAGUUAAAAGAUGUUCGAGUGGUGUGUGAAUUUCUGGACGUGUUUCCAUAAGAACUACCAGGUAUGCCACCAGACUGAGAGAUAGAGUUCGUCACUGAACUUGCACCCGGCACAACCCCAAUAUACAAGAAGCAUUAUCGUAUGGCACCCACCAAAUUGGUUGAGUUGAAGAGACAAAUAAAGGAACUCUCGGACAAAGGGUACAUCUGACCCAACUCCUCACCAUGGGGAUCGUGAGUAGUAUUUGCCAAGAAGAGAGACAAGACACUAAGACUAUGCCUCGAUUAUCGAGCUCUCAAUAUAGCCAUCAUCAAUAAUAAGUAUCCUGUGCCCCGAGUAAAUGAUUUAUUCGACCAAUUGGCACAAGGAAAGGUUUUCUCAAAGAUUGAUUUACUGUCGGGGUAUCAUCAGCUAAAGAUACGCUCGGAGGAUAUUCCCAAAAUAGCUCUUACUUCCCGAUAGGGACUGGACGAGUUUACAAUGAUGCCAUUCGGACUAACAAAUGCCCCAGUAUAUUUUGUGCAUCUGAUGAACAAGGUCUUAAUGAAGUACAUGGACAAGUUUUUCGUGGUAUUCAUCGAUGACAUACUGGUCUACUCCAAGACACCCAAAGAGCAUGCGCAGCACCUAAGAGUUGUAUUAGGUGAGCUGUCUAAGCAUUAAUUAUAUGCAAAAUUCAGCAAAUGUGAAUUUUGGAUAAAAGAAGUCGGAUUUUUGGGCCACGUAAUGACCCAACAAGGCAUAGUCGUGGACCUCGAGAAGGUAAAAGUCAAAAAUGGAUGGCAACAGCCAACAAAUGUGACACACGUAUGGAGUUUCCUUAGAAUGGCAGGAUACUACCAGAGAUUUAUUGAGGGUUUCUCCAUAAUUGUCAAGCCAAUGACCCAGUUGUUCAAGAAGAAUACGAAUUUUAGUGGAUUGAGGCAUGCAAAAAUAGUUUCCAAGAAUUGAAGAAGAGGCUGACCACAACACCGGUUUUGAUCAUUCCCAAUGUGCACAAGAAUUUUGAAGUAUAUUGUGACGCUUCAAGAAAAGUCCUCGGAUGUGUACUUAUGCAAGAAGGUAAAGUCAUGGCUUACGCCUCAAGGAAGUUGCGGCGACAUGAAGAAAACUAUCCCAGUCAUGAUCUGGAGUUGGCCGCCAUAAUACACGGACCACAAGAGCCUCAAGUAUAUUUUCUCCCAGACAGAGAUAAAUCUAAGUUUGCGCCAUUGGUUAUAGUUAAUCAAGGAGUAUGAUGUGGGGAUACAUUAUCACCCCUUAAGGCAAACAUUGUAGCUGAUGCUNNUAGCUGAUGCUCUCAGCAGGAACCCAACCCCAGACAGCAGCCCUACGUCAAAUCUAAGGUCCGAGUUUAUUCAAGAGUUCGCCAAACUCAACAUGCUCCUCGUCUCGGAAGGCAUUGUUGCACAACUGGAAAUACAACCCAGUUUGGACAAACAAAUCAAGGAGGCUCAGAACGAGCAUCCUAGUAUUGAGGGUAUAAAGAGGAAGGUGGGCCUGUGCAAGGCCUCCGAAUUUAAUAUUGACGAGCAAGGGAUAUCAUGGUACGACAACCGACUAUGUGUACCUGACCAAGAUGAAUUCAAGGUGAAAAUUUUAGAAGAAGCCCACACCGUGCCAUACUUGAUCAAUCUGGGAGGCACGAAAAUGUACAAGGAUAUCCAAACAAAAUACUAGUGGCACGGAAUGAAGAUAGAUAUUGCAUCUUUCAUUGCAUGCUGCUAUUCUUGCGAAGGGAUCAAGGCCGAACAUCAAAAGUCAGCAGGCCUACUACAACCGAUGAACGUACCCGAGUGGAAGUGGGAUGAGAUUGGCAUGGAUUUUAUUGUCGGAUUACCCCCCCCCCCUCUCGACAUGGGCAUGACCCUAUAUGGGUAAUAACUGAAUUACUCACCAUGGUGGCCCAUUUCAUUCCAGUAAAGACCACCUACUCCACCCAGAAGCUGGCCAGGUUAUACCUCGCUCGCAUCAUCUGCUUACACGAGAUUCCGAAGACUAUUGUAUCCGAUCGAGGCACUCAGUUUUCCUCAAGAUUUUGGGACUACUUACAGCAAACUUUGGGAACACGGUUAGUGUUCAGUACAGCAUAUCACCCACAAAUAGGAGGACAGACCGAACGUGUGAACCAGAUUCUGGAGGACAUGCUCUGGGCAUGUGUACUAACAUAUGGGAUCAAUUGGGAGGACAGGCUGCCUUACAUCGAGUUUUCUUACAACAAUAGCUACGAGACAAGUCUAAAAAAUGUCACCUUUUGAAGCCUUGUACGGACGAAGGUGUCGUACACCACUAAAUUGGUCACACACCGGAGAUAGUCAUAUCUUCGGCCCACAGAUUGUCCAAGAGGUUGAGGACAAAGUAAAACUCAUCAGGGACAGACUCAAGACAAAUCAAAGCCGUUAGAGGAGCUAUUACAAUCAAAAGCACCAUGACGUCAGCUUUGAACCAAACGAUAUGUUUACCUCAAAGUAUCACCAAUGAGGAGUUUACAAAGAUUUAAGGUUAAGGGAAAAAUAGCACCUCGCUUCAUCGGACCAUUCUGGAUAAUCACACGGAGAGGCCAGGUCACCUACCAGCUAGACGUACCCGCUGAACUGUCACACGUGCAUGACGUCUUUCACAUCUCUCAGCUAAGGAAAUGUGUGAGAAAUCCAGACCAACAGGUAUCACACAACAUCAUAUAUGUGCAACCAGAUCACACUUACCAGUAACACCUAGUAAGGAUACUAGAGGAAGCAUAACGGAAGACGCGUCAGAAGGUCACCAAGUUAUACAGGGUACAGUGGAGUAGUCACACAGAGGAUGAAGCCACUUGGGAAAGAGAAGAGUUUCUGCAGAAGGAGCAACCUCAAAAUUUCAAUUUGGAAUUUUCUGCAAAAGAGAAGAGUUGCUUGAGGAAUGGCUGAAAUUUCGGGUAUGAGAUUUUUUUUAAGGGGGUAGGUGUUGUAACAUCUUAUUUUAUUUGCUUUUAAAGUGAAUUUACAAAACUUUGACAAAACAUCUUCUGGAAUCUCCUUGGAAAUCCUACCUGAGACAAAUUUUUUUGAGUUUUCCUGUCAAAAAAUUCUGUUUUGGAAAAGUGUCUUACUUUAUUUCCCCCUUGACCAAGAUUUUCACUUGAAAAUCCAUCUCCCCUUCUUUUCAAAAUCCAUUAAUGGUAUGGGUGAAAUAUUUUGCUAACUUAGUUUUUCCCUAAAACUUAUCGCUCUUCCUCUCUAAAAAAUUUGUUGCUCCUUACUUCUCUCUAAUUAUAGGGCAUCUUUUAAAAAUAGUUUCUCAAGGUUUUGAGAUAGUUCAACUAUCUUUCAAAUAUCCAAAACCAUUUUGUGUAAUCACAUUUGACCCCUAGAAAUUUAUAGAGGAACUUAUAGACUCCUUUGGCUUCUAACCUAUAGAAAUUUGCACGCAGUCUCUGGAAUCAAUGAGAGGCUACCCCAUAAAUUUUCAGCAUCUAACUCAUUUUUCUCAUGCCAAUAGCAAUUCAUCGAGGAGGUGGUGGGCACUUCUGGAGGUGGGAGCAGAGCAGCAUCAAUCUCACCAGUGCCAAGCCCUGGCGGCUUGCGCACUGUGCCCCGAGCCUAUCCACCGCGCCGCACGGUCCUUUGGCUGGUUGCACGCAUCGGUAGUGAGCUGGCCUAAGCCCGCCAGCUCUCGCAACGGCGCUAACAAGAGCUGACGCGGCCGCCAGCAGGCAUUGCAGGAAAUCGCUGCCCGGCACCGCCCAAGCGCCCUGCAAGCUCCACGUGUCCGUCCCCCACCCAUGCUCUCCAUGCUCUGGAUAGCAGAGAGCAUGCCCUCUCGUGCCGACGUGCCUGUGACGAGCCGCCCCAUUUAUAGCCUGCCUCUGUCCGUAAUGGCUCGUGUUGAGGAGCAAAAUGAAUCAGCCGCAGACCGUAGCAUCUAAUCCGACCACGUGAGCUCCUGCAAAUCCUUCUAGCUUACCGCAAUUUGUUGCCGGAGUUGGUCCCCCGCGGCACCCUCUCUCGCCGGCCUAUAAAAAGGCACCCUGAGCCAAUGUGUAGCCACCAAACGAACCACACCUCACCAUAACCUCGCCGAAACCCUCAGAAGGCCUCUGGAGGGCCUUCUUCCCCGCCUCCGGCCGCCCGAUUUGCUUCGGUCCUCGGCAAAAUUUGCCCAUGUGGAUGCAUCCCAGUGGCCCAGUUCUUGCCAGCAAGAUCCUCGAGCAGUAUCCCUUCUAACCCGCGCGAGGAUUCUCUGAGUGCAGGCCUCUCUAUCGAGAUCCCGCUGCACCCGAAAUGCUGCUCGCCGGAGUUUUGAGCUGUCAUCGAUGUGGUGGCCGCCGGCGAGUGCCUCCACCUCCAUCAGCUGCAGAACCUCCUUGUGAGUGCACCCGCAUGCCUCUUCCAGUGUGGUUCGUCGCAGGAUGCCGUCGACGGCACUACGAGCUUCAUCCGCCGCCGAGGUAGAUUCAAACCUGAGAGUGGAGGCCCACUGUCAUGAUUCGAAUCUUUGCGAACCAUUUUUCUGAAGUGCAUUUUCCAGAGUACGUUUCCGGUUUGGUUACUUUCAACGGAGCGCUUUGCUUCUUUCCAGUCACCCCCGUGGGAUAUUUCUGUUUUAUUACAAAUCAGUCCCUGAGUUCAUUUUCUUUAUAACUUUUAAACUACACGGUCUUUUCUAGUGAUUUUUUUGCGAAAUCUUUCUAUUGUUGUCUAGUUUACUUUCAUAUAUAUCCAAAAAUAUUUUAAGACAAGAUUUUGGACUGUGAUAUUUAUGUUAGAACCGACGAGUGUAACAUAGAUACCGACGAGGGAAGCAUCGACGUUAACUUCAUCGAGCUCGAUCCCAGCUUCGUCGAACUAGGCAAGCUGUCUACGCAAUUGAUGUGAUUGUUUGUUGUUAGUAUUGUUAGUGUUUGCUGCAUAUGAAUACUUGCAUAAGAUAAACUCCAUCAUAAUAACACCUGCUUACGAGAUGAAUUAUUUCUUAACAAGGUUGAUCAUCAAGGUGAUGAUGAGAGGCCUUGGACAACUUAGUCACAUGUGACGUGAUAGGUUGUGGCCUGAGCAUGCCAGUGGCAUGAUACCGUGUGGAUAAGUUUUACAACUCUAGUGUCGGCAUAGAUCGAGUCUUGUCAGUACGUCACCUUACUUUCCGUGCUACCACAUGUCUUUCAGAAGGGAAUAUGGUGUAGUAUGUCAUAAACCUAUUAUCAGAUACACACCAACUAGAGGGGCCAGGAUGAAGGUCUCCAUGGCCUUGGCAUAAAGCCGAUCAUCUGGUCAGGAGGCAUGGGUGUUUCCGGUGUGGGAUUGAGAGGGAGGGCACUCCCUUGUAGCGCACGGUAGAAAUGUGAUCCAAUUCUAUUCGAGGGCGUUGGCUUCCCCGUCUUAGAGUUUUUCCCCUGAGAGAGUUACUCGGGUGAUGCCGGGCCUCGCUGGGUAAAAAUGGGUGUGUGCUGGUUCAGAGUGUUUACUUCUGAAAUACCGUACGCGGGAUUAGUCUUAGUGACUAUGGAAACCCGUUGGUUGUGGGUAAAUAGUACACCCUUUGCAGAGUCAAAACUAUUCGAGUAGCCAUGUCCAUGGUCAAGGACGACUCGUUGACACGUCAAGUAUCGGUCUAAGUGUCAGUCUGUGGAGAAUGGGUUUGUUUAUGAAAGUGCUAAUGCUGACAUUCGACUAUGACGAUGGAACUAACUUGAUGAAACUUCGUUAUUUUAAAUAUCUCGAAGGUUGGUUGUACCACCCGGAUAUUAAUUUACUUUUAUGCCAUUUCUGUGGUGUCGCUAAGACAGCCGACUGAGGUGAGUAUUUACUUUUAUGCUCUUUCUAUGGUAUUGCUAAGACACCCGACUAAGGCGAGCAUUUACUUUUAUGCCCUUUCUGUGGUGUCUCUAAGACGCCCAACUGAAGCGAGUAUGUACUUUUAUGCCCCUUGUGUUGCUUCGCUGAGACGCACGACUGAGGCGAGUAUUUACUUUUAUGCCCUUUCUGUGGUGUCGCUAAGACGCCCGACUGUGGCUUGUUGUUUAUUAUGCCUUGUAUGUGGUGUCACUUGGACGUCCGAUGGUGGUUAUUUAUUUUACUUGUUAACCUUUAGAGGCGUCGCUUCAGACACCCGAUUGGUGUAUUUUUAUUUUUGUUUGGAUAUUUUGGGAGGACUACCGCCCAACUUACCUACUCUAAUUAAUUGCUAUUAUUUUUUUACCAUGAUAAUUGUGAUAAUUAACCAUGCAUAUGAAAUUGUUGCAUUCAUCUUAUCUUUUGUGGAAAUUGUCUUGCCAGUACUUUCAAAGUACUCACUGGCUUGUUGAUGUGCCAAAUAUAGGUGAAGGAGACCUCAUGGAUGAAGAGUAUGAUAGCGAGUCCAAUGCCUAGAGGAGUCCCGGUCAGUCUUGUGAUCUUGGAGUCUGCCGUUGUAUUAUUUCACCACUUCCGCCACCACAAAUAAAUAGUCAAGCCUCACUCCCAUGCUUGCCAUGUAGUAGUACUUAAGCCGUGUCACUUCGCUCUGAUGUGGCAUGCCUACAUUUUAUGCGAGCAGUAGAGCUACCCAUGACCAUUGUGAUAUAUCCGCCCUUAUAUUAAGUAUGGGUGCGUUGUAAUAAACCAUAGAGCGACCUCUGCUCUUCCAUGUUUAAUAUUAAGUACUACUGGUUUUCUAUAUCAAGAUUGGUCUAUAAGUGUGAAUGAUUUUCUACACUGGUGACAUUCAUGGCUGAUUUCCAAUAAGUUUAUUUAUUUGGAAACCGGUCCUGACACCUUAGCACCCUCAGUCUAGCGGUCAAGUUGAGUUGAGUAACCGAGAAAUAAAAUUAUUCUUGCAAAGGACUAUUAAUAGAUCUAGAAAGAACUGGUCUAAUAAACUUGAUGAUGCUUGCUACUUGUGAGUUGCGUUGG